GUGGAGGUCCAAUGCCAGACUUCGUACGGCGUCAGGACGUUCGCGACGGCGAGUAUUCCGGCAUCGGAUUUUGUUGGCGGGUACGUGCCGGAGGGUUACCUGCAUUUUUUGAGUUACAGGCUGAGAGAUUACAAGGGGGAGAAGAAUGGGAUUAUUAAUAUUUCUGUGAGGAUGAAGGUUCCGGAGAUGUACAGCUCUUGUGCAAGUUCAACGACGUCGUCUCCCUCGAUGAUGGGGUUUCCGGCGGCUGGAAACAAUAGUUUUGGCGGCAACAUUGCGAUCGGAGUUCCGGUUUGGUAUGGUGCCUAUCAGAAAAAUUAUUGAAGAUCCUAAUCACAAUUUUUUGUGCGUAAAUAUUAGAGGAUUUAGACUUUUGGUUACGGAUAAUGCAAACUCAACGUCUUUUGUGUUCUUGAGAGAGGAAAAAUUGAUUGUCACAAAACUUUAUUUUUGCAUGACGAUGAGUAAAGAAAAUUUAUAUUUGGCAAAAGUGGGUUGCCUCAGUUGGUAAGGUUAUUUCAAAAUAUAUUUGUCUUUCGUUAAUUUUAUCGUCAUUGUAAUUCUAUAUUAUCAAAUCUUGCGUGCAAUUGCUUUGGAGAAAGACUAUAAUGAUACAAGAUUCCACGUACAAGCAAAUUCUUCUUGGCAAUUCUUUGUUUCAAUUAAUAAAGUUUUUUAUUUUAUUUGUUCGUGGUGUACUUUGAUUUUCAACUUGGUAUCAAAGUGAUGAAGAUGAUACCCAUUCGGCUCCAAAUAUCAAUGGCUUCAUGCUUUUUGGUCUAGGGUUUUUGAAUGGAUCAUAGUUGGCCUGCCCAAAAAAAAAGUAUUUAAUUAAAAAACAAAUAAAUAAAGCCACUUUGUAAAGAAAACAAACUAAACUUUAUCGAGAGAAGAUAAAUUAAAUACAGUAACCACACAAGCUACGUAAUUAUUUUUCCCAAAAGAGAUAGCAAGUUCCCUACGCAAUCCUUUAAUUUCAAAAAAAUUGCUUCAAAAUCUUUUAGUUUCAGAAGAUUCUCAUUACAUUUCUUUAAGGGCAUGUUUGUUUGGCCUCUUUAAGUCUCAUUAAACUAGACUGUCUUGGAUAGGAGUCUUAACCCGUGUUUGGUGCAAACAAAGACUGCUUUUAAUGAGACUAAGUCAAACUCGCUCUGACUAAAAGUUUCACUAAUUGUUCUUAGCGAGUCCCCCCAAAAACUAGCGGAUUGCUAAUCCUGUUUCUAUUGCCCGCCUCAUCUGCAAGCAUGCGUUCCCAAUCUCCUUCUUCCCGCGAACCUAGUCACCAAAUCAUGCCUUCCACCCCCUUCUCCAGUUUCCAAAUUUGAAAUGGCUCUCACCAAUCUCUAUCCCGCGAACCCAACCUCCUCUUGCUUUAGCGAUGAAUUCAUUCAGUUAAGCUUCCAAUAAGCUUAAUCCACACCAUAAAGAACACUUCAAUUCGAAGGUUAAAACUUAUAAAUCCCAAAUAUCAAAAAUAUCAAAAUCUGCAAUAAAUCCAGAAAUCUAUUACGUUGGGUUGCUAUGAUCUUCUCUAGAAAUCCCAAAAAAACGAAAGACCUCUAGAAAUCUGUAGUGCUCUUCUCCAGAAACCCAGAAAUCUAUUACUUUGAUUUGGGAUUUUUGUGAAAAAAGAGCUAUCUUUGCUUCAAGGAACAAGAAGAAAGACCUAUUGGUCUUUUGACCAAAUUAGGUGCAAAAUGCACAUCUUCCUCAAAUGUUAUGAACUUAAGCCUACGAUAAUUGAGCUAUGUGAAAGAUCAUCUCUCCAAUUUGUUUGAACCAUGGGAAUGCGUAGAUUAGAUUUUGGUUGUAAUUUGAUAUGAUCAAAUGUUGUAAAAGAGCAUAAGCUCUUCUUUACUUUAAAGUAAUUUGAUUUGGUCAAAUGUUGUAAUAGAGCAUAAACUCUUCUUUACUUUGAAGUACUCCUUUCUUGUUUUCUUUGAUAUGCAUGAAAUUGGAGUAGUAGGGUCCAAAGCCCAAUAAGAAAACACGCCUUAAUGUGAUUAAACGUGUAACUAAAAUCAAUCACCAUCCCUAGACUGAGAUCCAACACUAGGCUCGUGUUGGAUUGAAUCAAAGGUUCAUAGUCAUCCUAAGGCCCUAAGACAACUAUAUAGUCCAUCAAUGAAUGCAAAGCUUAUGCUAGUAGUACCAUAUACUCUUGCUUUAAAAACCAUUUUACAAGCAUAGUGGGAGUAUCAUAUACUACUGAAUCAAUCACAUGGACCAAUAGUUGUAAUAGGACCAAAUUGUUUUAAUAAGAUUAAAAUGCAUUCUUGUAUGUGAUGAGACCUAAAAACCCUCAACCAAACCGUUAUUAAGUUGACAAGCGUGAUAGUGCUUUUGUUGUAUGAGAGAGAGAGUAUUUUUUAUUUGGUUAAUGCUUGAAUCGUAAACGUGAUUACACAAUGAAAGAUGACGGUACACAAAUGGCAAAAAUAGUUGGGAAUUUGUAAGUUACAGGCAAAGCUCAUGGAAAGUAAGUUUAUGCAAUGGCAUAGUCAAAGAGUUGUAUACCUAAUGUCUACCCUACAACAAAAGUCAACAAACACAAUCACAGCCACGAUUUCAUGUAUAAAGGAGCCUUUCACGUAUAUAAGUAAUUUGAACUCAAGGCAUGAGAGAUUAGAGCAAUUUACAUAAGACCCUAAAUUCAAUAUAGAGAACUAAAAACAUUGUAUAAAUCUAGAAACUCAAAUAUGAGGUAAAGACUAAGCAAGAAAUUUUCUAAAAUAUAAUUAAAGCUAAAGAAAAGUUGAUAGAAUAAGGAGCAGAAGGGAAGUGAAGACUGCACCACAAUAAGAAGGAUGAAAAGGAAAAUGUGGGUUGGUCUAGAACGAAAAAGAGUUUGAACUAAGAACUCACUUAGUGACUCCACCCAUGACCAUGACCACAGACACAGCCUUUGGUUUAAAACACUAAGCCAACAUACGUAUACUACAUGUAACACUUGUAGUCACAUUCCGUGGGAGAAAUUUCAAAUUAAGAUGUUAAUGUGAUAAAAAAUAAGGUAAAUUACACAAAACUACAUCAACUAUGGGGUGAACCACAAUCUCAUACCUAAUAUUUAAAAGUUACAAUAUCAAACCUCAUCUUACGAAUUUGUUGCAAUGUCAAACCUCUGUCAAAUUUUUAGUUAAUUUCUCUGUUAAAUGCUGAUGUGGCUUGAGACGGGGCCCACUCCCUAGCCCAAUUGGAUUAAAAAAUUAAUUAAAUAUUAAACAAUUAAAAUAAAAUUAUUUAAAUAUUUUUAUUAAAAAAAUGUAAGACCCACCCCCAAACUCAUCACCCUCACCCUUCUUCCCUACAUGUCUCCCCCAAACUCAUCACCCUCAUCCUUCAUCCCCAUUUCAAUCCUUAAUUUUUAAUUUACUCAAACAAAUCAAAUCCCAAUUGGAAUUUCGUAAACUAGGUGUGCUCUAUUGCUACCACUUUGACACCUCUGCCAUCGCCACAGAAAAUCCUCGUGCAUCCAUCUUUUUCUUUCUCUUCUGUUUCAAACAUGUGGUGGUGAUUUGGGAUCAAAGAAAGCUUUGGGCUUUGCUCAACUAGGUUUGUGGGUUUUGGCUCAAAGGAUAGGAGACGGCUACGCUAAGGUUUUGGGGUCGAAGGGAGAGCGGGUUCGAUCGAGUUUUUGGGGUUUGGUUUAGGGUCUAGUGAGGUUCGGUGGUGCAGGAACAUUUUUGGGUUUCUCAACGUUGGCUUGGCAGGUGAAGUCGAGCUUGGAGUGGGUGUGGAGGACGAGGUUUGUGAAGCCUAGGGCUUGGAGCUUGCGGACGAUGGCAUAGCCGACGUGGCUGCUGUUGUAGCGUGAAAGGGAGAAAGGGGAGAGAGAGGGGAGGGAUGGUGGUUCUGGGCACGGCGAGAAAGAGAAGUGAAGGGGACGAAGGAAACUACGGAUGGGUGAGGUUGGUUUUUUAUUUUUAUUUUUUUGAAUUUUGUUUAAAAUAAUUUAUUUUAAAUGAAUUAAAAUAAUUUUAAUAAUUAAAUAUUUUAUUAGUUGUUUGACCAUUUGCACAAGUUGACUGACACAUCAGCAAAUAUGGGCUUUGCAUUUGCCAUGUCAUCACUUCAUGGUCAAAUUGACGUAUUAAUUAAUAGAUGUCUGACAUUGCAACGAAUUCAUAUAUUAAAAUAUGACAUUGAUAGGAGCAUAUUUAUGCGACUUAGUUAGCUUGUUUUCUUGCAUUUUCAUAGCUAGUUUCUACUUAUUAGAGUGUUUUAAGCUAUUUUCGUGUGUUUUCAGGUUCAAAUGAUAAAGUUUGCAAGAAAGUGCAAUUUGGAGCAAUUUUGGGCCAAGAAUGGAUAGCACAUGUAUGAAGCAAGGUGGAUGGACGUUCUUGGAGUUGAAGAGGCUAGGAAUAUGCUAAGGAAAUGAAGAAAAUAAAGUCAAGACAAAGACGAUAAGGAAUCAGCUAAAAUGAAGGAAUAUUAUCCAAACUAACCUUAUCUUAUCUUUUCCUACCUUCAUGAUGUGAUGUAAACUAGCACACAAAUUAAACCCUAUUAAGAUAGUUGUAGUACGCGUAAGUAGGGAUCGUUCUAGGCUGGGGAUUAGUUAAGGAUGCUAAUCAACACAAAUUAAACUUAAAAACUAAAACUAGACUCAAACAAAUCAAAAUAAGCUAAAUUUACUCAAAUAACACAAAACUAAAUUGAAUUGACUCAAAACAAGAACUAGAAUGUAAUUUGGACGAAAAUUGAACUCAAAAGACUCAAAACAAUGAAAAACAACAAAUCUGGAUAGAUUUUAACCUAAGAACAGGAAAUAUAAAGGGGGGUUUGUUUUUGACGAAUUUAAGACCAAAACUAAACAGAUUUAAGACUCUAAAUAACUUUGAACGAAAUUGGUGAUUUAAUGGGUGAAUGGCUAGCUAGAGGGUCCUUCUCCACACAUGACACAUAUGCAUACAAAUCAAUUUCCAGUUAUUCUUCCUAUAAACCAUGAAUGACAAUGCCCCAAAUUAAUCGUGAUAAGCACAAAUUGACUUUCAAAUUUUCCUAAACUCAUUGAAUUGGACUCAGCGACGCAACCAAUUUAUUCUUAUCAAGUUCCCUACAUGAAUUGCAUAAUAGAGAUACAUAUCAAAGAUCAUUAAGUUCUAUGAAAAUCAUAAGCAUUGACAAGGCAUUCAUAACUAUGAACUGCAUGAUACUCCUGCCAGGAAUUUACUUAACACGAUCGUGACUAGCAACCUCCACUACUUGUAAAUAUAAGUUCAUAACUAUUAGGUGAAAUUCCCUUAUAUUUUAGCAUCAAAUCCUUACAUGCAAACUAAGUAUGCAUCCUCAAUCAACACACAAGAAUAAGUUAUCAAUCAAACAGAUAAGUAAAUUGCAUUCACGAUUUACGAAAUCAUAACUAGGUGUAAUCAAUUCAUAUCACAUACAUGUUCAUGGCUUUGAAUUCACCUCUAACUAAAACGAAAUUAGUUCCUCGUGGUUGCAAUUAAACAAAGACAAUCUAAUUUAAUCAUUGAACUAAAACUACGGAUAGAAUACACCUAGGAACGUUCCAACAAUCCAAAGCCUUGAAUGGCAGGCACAGCACCAAGGGUCUCCUCUCUUUCCUUCCUUGCAAAGUUGUGGCACAAUUGUAUUUUUCUGAUGUUUUGGCUCUUGUGUGUGUGUUGCGAAAAUAGGGUCAGAAAAUAUGUAUUUAUAGGCUAGGGUUUCGGCACAAAAGUUGUGAAAGAGAAGGAUUACAUAAUCCUAAGAAAAAAGGACUAGGAAAUUCGGCACAAACCUUCUAGAAAGGGUGUUCUGGCAGAUUUCUAGAAGAAAAGGGAUAAAAGGUGCGGCACCACUUAGGAUAAGGAAUAGGGCUUCUAGAAAGGGCUAUUUAGGUGAUUUAAUGUGCAAUUGAUCCCCCCUUGCAGUUGGAAUUAAGGUAGGAAAAGAUUAGGUUAGGAUAAGAUAAGAUUAGGUUAGUUUAGAUAAGAUAAGGUUGGAUAAUGUUUUGGAUAAUGUUCCUUCCUUUUAGCUAAUUCCUUAUCUUCUUUGUCUUGACUUUAUUUUCUUCAUCUCCUUAGCAUAUUCCUAGCCUCUUGAACUCCAAAAACGUCCAUCCACCUUGCUCCAUACAUGUGUUAUCCAUUCUUGGCCCAAAAAUGCUCCAAAUUGCACAUUCUUGCCAACUUUGUCAUUUAAACCUGAAAACACACGAAAAUAGCUUAAAACACUCUAAUAAGUAGAAAUUAGCUAUGAAAAUGCAAGAAAACAUGAGAAUGCAAGAAAACAAGCUAACUAAAUCGCAUAAAUAUGCUCCUAUCACUUAAUUCCAGCUGCAAGGGGGGAUCAAUUGCACAUUAAAUCACCUAAAUACCCCUUUCUAGAAGCCAUAUUCCUGAUCCUAAGACCAUCUCCAACCCUUGGGCUAAAAGCCAAAUUUUUUAGCCCGAAAAAUUUAGCUUUUAGCCCGGAAACAUCUUUUCUGCUCCAACCCUUCUAUCCUAAAAUUUUAGCCCGGAAUUAUUAAAGAAUGAAAUUAGCCUAAAUUUUUUUCUUAAAUCAAUUUUUUUUUUUAAAAUAGAUAUGUAGAUUAUUGUAAAUUAAUUUUAUGAACAUUUUAAUCUAAAAAAAUUUAAAUUCCGAUAAACAUUUCGCAUUUAGCCCGGGGGGAAACCUGGGGGGUAUUUGGCCCAGAAAUAGCAUUUGGCAUUUAGCCUAAAAUUUUAGCAUGGGUUGGAGAGUGUUUGGGGGGAUAAUUUGGGGGGUAAUUUGACUUUUAGCCCAGGGUUGGAGAUGGUCUAAGUGGUGCCGCACCUUUUAUUUCUUUUCUUCUAGAAAUCUGCCAGAACACCCUUUCUAGAAGGUUUGUGCCGAAUUUCCUAGUCCUUUUUCCUUAGGAUUGUGUAAUCAUUCUCCUUCACAACUUUUGUGCCGAAACCCUAGCCUAUAAAUACAUAUUUUCUGACCCUAUUUUCGCAACACACACACAAAAGCCAAAACAUAAAAAAAAUACAGUUGUGCAUAUGUAAGACUCUUAUAUUGAUGAAUAUGUCCACAAAUAAAACUUGAAAAACAAAAGUAAAUAGAUACAAAUGAAAGGUGAAUAAAAGACUUAUGAAAGUUAAUUGAUAACCGUGCAAAUCAAAAUUAAAUAGAUUAAAAUGAAAAGUGAAUAGAAGAGAGAUAAAAGUUAGUAUAUACCUCUGGUAGAUUAUGGAUAUGAAGCUUUAGAACUGUAUAUGACUCAAGCUCUUCAAAGCUAUCACCAUACUCCAUUUUAUCUUGGUCACCAAAUGUCUCAGAACUUUGCAUCAUUCUCUACAUAAAUCAAAAUCUAACGCAAGUUUAUAUCAUGAUAUGUCUUGUUUGUAAUAACAAACUAGCAUUAUGUCUCCUUUAUAGUUAAGAGGAAAGAUCUAGAAUAUCAUUUUUGAAAGAAAAAAAAAACCAUCAACAUAAAUCUGUGUGCAGUAUUAAGUGUGAAAUUAUCAAAGAGAUGAGCCAAAAACCCACUUCCAACAACACAUAUCUUGUCCCCAACUUGUUAAUUACCACUUGGACAGUACUACAGGUGUGGGGUGUUAUCACAAAAGACCCCGGUAUUAGUUAGAGUGGGUUAAGACAUUUAAAUUCUUCUUGUCUCACAGAUGAGGUCAAUGUGAUAUUUCAACAUUAGGUUUUCUUACGCUUUAUUUAUCUGGUUUUGUUCCAUUAGACACGUUUGGAAAUGAUCCAUCCUUAUCUUAUAUUAAUUACUAGAUGGUGAAAGAAAUCUUCACGAAUAUAUCUUACCUGCAUUUUCUGCGAAGAGAUUCAGUACACGAAAAAAUAGGACAAAUAAAAAAAAUGAAAUGUGACAUAAUUUAAAAGUAACAUACUGUACAUAAAUGUAAUGUAAUAUCUUUGUAAAAAAUUCCUAAUUUUUUUUAGGUCUUUGUCUUAUCGAGGGUUAACUACAUUUCACACCCUCUAUGUUUAGGGUGAUUUUCAAAACUUGCCACAAGUUUUCAAUUUUCUCACAUUGCUUCCUAAGGUUUUAAAAUUUUAGCAAUUUAGACCUUUUGUCUAGUGAAUCAUUUGAAUUUUCAUUAAAUUCAUUACAUGGUGAGCAUAAAACCCGUAAAUGAGUAUAUUGAUACAAUUUAAAACCUUAGGGGGUGAUGUGAGAAAAUUGAUAUCUGAUGGCCCAUUUUAAAAAUCACCUCUAAACUUUGAGAGUGCAAAGUGUAGUAGCCCUUGUAUUUACUUUGUUUCUAGAAAUUUUUUUUGACAAACAAUAGUGUUAGUGGGUUAAGUUGUUAGUUGUUAGGGGAAGAGGGAUCGGUGGGAUCAAACUCGCACUAGGGUGUAUAAACAUGAUUGUUUUUUGCCACUACAUUAAAGCGCCAUCUGUGUUUCUAGAAAAUCUUUCGAACGAUUCUUAGAUGCAAUUCAAUCAUGACUAAAUGUAUUUGUGUGAGCGAAAAAGUUGAUCAGUAAGCACCUUGCAAAAUCAGACACAAGAACAUGAAUAAAGAACCUACUUCUCUCCAUAAUCUAACGUUUUGAGUCCUGCCCGCUGCAGCUGUUCAAGUGUGAAAAUCUAUUUGAUCUGUAAGGAUCAUUUAAUUGACCGAGGACUUGUUACAGUUUUAACCUGGAGAAAGAAUGUUUCAAGCUUUGAAGAUGCCCUCCAAAGUGGGAAAGAAGUUCCUUCAACUUGCAAUGAUGGUGUUUCUCCUCAAACCUUAUUUUGGGAACUUUAACGAAAAACUCCCGGUACUGUUCACUUUAACGAAAAACCACAUUUUUACACUAAAAAGUCAAUCCUGGUAUUAAUCACUUUACCCUUUAUUUUGUCCUUAUCGUUAAAACUCAAAGUUUUCAAGCCCUUUUCAUUAGUUUUCCUUAUUUUCAAUCCGUAAAGAUUGAAGUGAAAUUUGAUGGUCUUCCACCAACAUCAUCGAUAUUGUCCUAACUAAACUACUUAUUACUAGGUGUUGAGUUUUAUUACAAAAACCUUAGUGAUAUCAGAAGUAGAAUCUCCCGUAUAUCACAUAUAUUAUUUUAUUUUAUGCCAUUGUGUUAUCCUUUUCUUGGGAGCAGCCUCUUCAUAAAUGGGGGUAAGGUUAGCCGACAUUCACCUCUCCCAGACCAUUUGUAAAGCGGAAGCCUUGUGCACUGGGUACGACCAUUGUGUUAUCCUUUUCUUUAACUGAAUCCAUAUUAUCAAGUCAUAAGGCUACGAAUCGAUGUCAGCCCUGUUUAUUUUUUGAAAGAAGUAAGUUUUAACUUCAUCCCAUGCAUAUUGUAGAUCUCUUUUAAUCCGUCGUACGUAAGGAUUGAGUGACAGAAUUAAAAAGGAAAAGCAAACAAACAUCCACUUUUAAACUUAGAAAAAUUAAUUAAAACCGAUUAGAAUCGAAACCAAACACAACCCUCCACUGAAUAAAGAAAAAAAUCAAACCACAUCAUUCAUGCGUAUCAGAAUUCACAUGAACGCAAGAGAUUCAGAUUUGUUAUGACAGCCAGACAUUUCUUGCCAUAAAACACGAAGUCACAAAGCAACUUCUUACAUUAUAAUGAAGGAUAGACCAAACCAUAGAGACAAUAAACGUAUCUUCCAAGAAAUAAGACAACCACAAAGUAAUAUAUUAUGAAACCUAGGAAUUUCCAGGAAGUGUUCGAGUCCCAAUUGAAAUUCUCAGUAUGGAUUAAAAAAAAGGACUAGAGGCUUUUGACUUGCCUCCAUCCGAGGUUUGUUCAUUAUCUAUUGAUGGAACCAAUGACACAAAAUGGAAUAGAAGAGCAUGUUCGCUGUAUAUGCGCGAGGGAAUCCGACAGCGGAAGAAAUAGGUAGAGCAGAGUAAAUAUUAACCCUGCUCUGAUACCAUGUAAAUUUAGGAUAGGCAAAGAAAGUAUUUACCAAGAAUAAUUACUCUGUUAAUGAUAGAAUAGUUAUAUACAGCAAAGAAACUAUAAACUAGGAACUAAGUUCACUACAGCUAUACAAUAAAGGGAAAGAAAAUCAAUCAAACAAUCGAAAUAUACAUUAUACAUGCCAUUGCCUAUUCUGUACCUUGAUUGCAAAGGAUUCUGAUUUCUUUCUAACACUCUUCUCGUUUCCAACUUCCUGUCCUCGUGUCCCUUCCUCUCACCAUGAAAGGCCAAUGUCAUGUACUUUAACAGGGGCGUGGGAGGCUGUUGCUUGAGCACUUGAGCAUCCUCAUCUUCCCCCCGUUGUCCUACAUUUCCUUCCUCGCUCCAUUCAUGACCAAUGCAAUGCAGUUCAGCAGGGGACGGUAUCGGCGUCUGCUCAAGAACUUGGGCCACUUCGUCUUCUCCCUUGCUCUUGUUGCACAACUAGGGCUUGCCUAUCGUUUUUGGGGCCCUGGCGAACAAUCAAAAUGUGCCUUUUUUUUUCAAUACACGAAUAUAUAUAUAUAUAUUUAAAGAGGGCUAGAACCCAAUCAAAGCUGGGGGACGCUAAGCCUUCACACCCAUAUUAUAUUACUUGAAGGAAAAAAAAAUACAAAGAAGGGACAUAGUACCUAAACCCUGAUGUAAAAGUAUAAUCCUAUACAACCAUUCCAAGCAUAACUCCUUAAAAAUUUAACCUUUAAGAAAUUGUCUUCUUGCAUUUUCUGAAGCAAACUCAUCAAUUAAUUAUUAUUUUGGUGCCUUUAGGGCCUAAGAUAGACCUGAUUCGAAAUUACAAAUGCUUUCCCAAAAAUUGGUUUGUGUAUAAGACUCACUUAUAUUAGUGAAUAUGUCAACAAGUGUGCCAGUUUUAUGGAUAGAUAAAACUUGAAAGCAAAAGCAAAUAGAUACAAAUGAAAAGUGAAUAGAAGAGUUAUUAAAGUUAAUAAAUAAACCGUAACUGUAAAAAUCAAAAUUAAAUAUAUUAAAACGAAAAGUGAAUAGAAGAGCGAUAAAAAUUAGUAUACGUCCAAUAAAUCAUGGAUACAAUUAUUUAGAACUGCAAAUGAUUCAAGCCUUUCAAGCUAUCACCAUAAUCCACUUCAUCUUGGUCAUCAUAUGCCUCAAAAAAUUUCAUCAUUUUCUCUACAUAAAUCAAAAUCUAAAGCAAUUAUAGAGCAUGGUAUUCGUGUUUGUAAUCAUGUACAAAACAAACUAGCCUUAGGUCCCUUUUAUAUUGAAGAGGAAAGAUCUAGAAUAUCGUUUUCGAAAAAAUAGUAGGCAUAAAUCUGUGUGCGGCAUUAAGUUUUGAUACGCUUUUAUCUGUUUUUGUUCCUUUGGACACGUUUGUAAAUGAUCCAUCCUUAUCUUAUCUUAAUUACUAGAUGCUGAAAGAAAUUUUCAUGAAUUAACUCUUCUGUUUCAAUAAAAACAGUUAAUUUCGAUUACCGCUUGAGGGCUUUGCUCACUCUGCAGAACAUAUAAUUGAAAAAGAGGGGUUGCGUGCGAGCCGAGUAACGUAGGUAGGUGGAUCAAACUAUCAACUCCAGGGGCUUCGUUCCCCUUUUCUUCUUGGAUCACAGCUACGAGUCUUAAGGCAACAGAAGGCAGAAAAAGGAAAGUCGCUUUAAUUACAAUUACAAAAAAGAAUUUAGGCACAGCCUUUUCCACAGUUAUAGAAGAGAAGCCUUUGCUGCGCUUUGGAAUGAGCUAGAAGCGAAAAAAAGUAUACAUUGGAUGUUUGAAUUGCUUCAUCUUGAUUUUGAACAUGGAAUUUUUUCUUCUGAGGUAGCAGAAAGGCGAGAAAUAUUAAUCUUCGAAUUAGGCUUAACAAUCUUUAUGAGUAGCAUACUAGUGUAUUUAAUGAUUUCAGGUGAUGAAUAUAUUCUAGCUACCUUUCUCCGGCUAACGCGUAUCCAUUUUAUUGUCAAAAUCUCUAUAAGCUGAAUGAUGUCACUCGAGUGUUGAGCUUUCAAAGGGUUUUUCAAGACCAUCCAAGGUCUUCGUUUUAUCUAGGGCUAACUACAUUUGACACCCUCCAUAUUUAGGGUGAUCUUCAAAAUGGGUCACGAAUUUUCAAUUUUCCCACAUUGCUCUCUAAGGUUUAGCAAUUUAGACCUUUUGUCUAGUGAAUUAUUUGAAUUGUCGUUAAAUUAAUGACAUGGUGAGCAUGUAACCUGUAAAUGAGUUGAUAUGUAAGCCACAUUUACACCACAUUGACUAAAAAACUCAUUGAUUAAAUAAUAAUUAGACACCCGAAUAUACAAAAGGAGUAAAUUGAUACAAUUGUAAAACUUUAGGGGCCAAUGUGAGAAAAUUGAUAUCUCAUGGCCCAUUUUAAAAAGGGAUGUGAUAUCCACACACCCCAUUUUACUUCUCACACACCUUUUUAAAUUUCAACCGUCAGAUCGGAUGAAUUGAAGAAGAUUAACGGACAUAAAUUAUCAAGGAGUGUGUGAGAAGUAAAAUAGGGUGUGUGAAUAGCAUAUCCCUUUUAAAAAUCACCUCAAACCUUGAGGUGUAGAAUGUAGUUAUCACUUUUAUUUACUUUGGUUCUUGCUUUUUUUUUUUUUUUUUUUUUUUGACAAUAAUAAUGUUAGUAAUUUAAAUUGUUAGUUGCUAAGGGUAAGAUGAAUUGGUGGGAAUCAAACCCGUACCAAGAAGUAUAGACAUGAUUGUUUUCCUACACUGCAGUAAACCCCCAUCUACGUUUCUUGAAAAAAAAUUGAACGAUUCUUAGAUGUAAUCCAAUCAUGACUAAAUGAAUUCGUAUGAGUGAAGAAGUUGAUCAGUAAGCACCUCGCAAAAUCAGAUACGAGAACAUAAAUAAAGAACCUGCUUCCUUCUCUCCAUAAUCCAACUUUUUGAGUUUGAUCCACUGCGGCUAUUCAAGUGUGAAAAUCUAUUUGAUCCAUAAGAAUCAUGUAAUUCUCCGAGAAGUUGUUCUACUCAAGGAGCUGAUUCACCAAAGUCAUCUGGUGGCGAGGGCGCUGGUUAGGUCGACGACCUACUGGGACAGGUGUCGUUCACAAUUUGGGAUGGAAGAGCUCGAGUGAUGGGCAUUUACAGGAGUGGUGGAAGUGUAAUGAACUACAGGGUCAAACUUGGACUCUAAGGGGGCGUUUGUUGCGCCGGACUGUCUCGGACUAGACUAGUUGCAGGGACUAAGCUGGACUGGCUUAGACUAGACUAAGCUGGACUAACUUAGUGAAGCGUUUGGUACAGUGUCAGACUAAGAAGCAGGAUUAUAAAAACAGUACUGUUCAUCAGAUUUGUGUUUGCUUACACUAGGACUACAAAUUUUUUCCAUUGUGUAAUAAAGUAAUGCUACAAAUGUCAUGAGAAGAUACUUGUGUAAUAGAGUAAUCCUAAACUUUAUGCAAUAAAAUCGAACAUUAACUAAUGAUAGUUUUCUUGGAUUAUAGAGUUUAAGAAAACAGAACUCAUAUUAGAUAUUUGUCUGAAGCAAGUAAAAUUGCCAUGGAAAAUGUCACUUAAGUUCUUCACGUGCAUGAUAUAUGGUGUUCUGGUUCUCUGUUGGGUGAAGAUGACUAGGAUCCAAUGGUGGUAGGGUUUUGAAGGAAGGGGAAACGUGAGUACUAAUACUUUGGUUUCAAGAAUCCUCCAAGUGUACCCAACAAACCUUGCUCAAAAGAAAAGAAGAUAGAAAAGCAUGGUAAUUAAACAGGCUAUAAGGGCCACCUCUUUUUCCAUGUGGCAUAAUUCAUAGCUGACUAGCUUAACAAGCAAGAGCAAGUACAUAAGAAGAUACUUGUGACAAGUCAAUCUUUGCCAUUGAUUGACUCUUAAAACAUCAUUCACUAAACUUUCAUCCAGGAUAUUUUACAAAAUACCAGUGAACUAUAGUAUACCAUUCAAAAGUAGAUCUCCAUAAUUUACAAACUCUUAGUUAACAUUAGCCAAAAUACUUUAUAGUGGAAAGCUAAGUUAUAAGUCAUAACCUAAGAUUGUACGAUUAAUAAAAUACAUCCAUAUCAAAAGGCACCACAUAAUAUACUCAUCCGCUUGCUUUGUCGCUUAAAAGCCUUUGGACAAACACUUUCUUGAGUUCCGGUUUGAUUGCCCUGAACACUCCCACAUUUUUUGGUUUAUCCAAAAUAAGAGACAAUGCAUCAAUUUGAUCCAUAGGAGAAAGACCCAUUUCUUCAAGUUCGUUAGCUAUGUCACUAUGAUCUGCAGUACCUUGAACUAAAGCUUCAGUUACCAUUUGCAUCCUCUUCCCACUUUCAACAUAAAAUUCUUUCAGUCCACUGAUAAUUGCCUCGGUUCCAUCACUUGAACUUCCCACACCUCUUUUCCUCUUUCGUUGGCUAUUUUCAGAUGGGAUGCUUUGUUGGCUUUGUUCGUUCAUUGAAGAAACAACAUUUUCACCUCCAAUAUCACUUGCACCAACCUGAUCAUGACUUUGUUCCUCCACCAUUUUAGUAGGGGUUUCGGCUACAUUACCCGUAGCCCGAUCUUUUCCAAAUAUAUAUGCAAAUCUAUCAUACAGUGGAAAAUGUUUGCUUCUCCAUCCAUCGGCUUCUUUAUUUUUCUAAGAUUAUAUCAACAUAGCAAAACUAAAAUUGAGCAUGCGUAACAAAUAUAGCAGCAAGAACAAAACUAAUGUAUAAAUAAAAUAGGAUAUGAACUUGCACAUAAGUUUGCCAUGCGUCAUCACUGUCAACUUCAACACACUUUUUGACAUCAUUCCAUGCAAAUCCACUUGUGUUUAUCAUGUCAACGACCAUACUAUAUGUUUUUUUCCAUUUCUUCAACUUUGACUCAAUAUGUGGAGUUGCUUUUAUAUUGGAAUGAGGACAUAAAACAUUGACAGCUUUCGCUAUUUCAAUCAAAGUACCUUGUUUGAAAGCACCGGUGUCACACCGUUGCUUCCGAGCAACAAAAUCCUCAAGAACGGAUAAUAAUACUUCUUCCUCAAAUGCUUCCCAUUUACGCCUUCUUCCUUUUGGCUCUUGAGUAGCAUUCAAAAUAUUGUCUUUAUCCAUACCUAAACAAAAAAUAUUUGAAUGUACUAAAAUACAAUACAAAUAAUCAAUUUGCAUAAUAUCCAAUCAAUUUGCAUAAUAUCCAAAUAAUUUGCAUACCAUCCAAUCAAUAAAAAAGUUUUAACAUUCACUGAUGAGCAAUCUAAUAAUUAUGCUAAUAUCCAACAAAUGCAUGAUAAAAAGGAAUACUAAAAUAAAAUGUUAUCAUUAACACAUAUAGCUAGUUCGGUUGCUGGUUCCUAAUUGCUCUCCACUCAUCAUACAUUUCUUGAGCCAUGGCAUUCCUCUUUGCAGUCCACUGGUCAGAUGUUUCAACACUACCAACAUAUUCACCUUCUUCUGUAUUUUGUCCAUCUUGUAUUAUUGUCAAAUUUUCCAGUGGAUCUACAAACAUCUCUUGCCUAAUAAGAUUGUGUAGUAGGCAACAAGCGGUAAUUAUUCGACCUUGUGUCCUUAUCGGAUAGAAAGAUGAACUUCUUAGUAUCGAUCACCUUCCUUUUAGCAAGCCAAAACAAUGUUCAAUUACAUUCCUUGCCUUAGAAUGCUUCAUGUUAAAAUACUCUUCCUUAUUAGAAGGCGUUCGUCCCUCCCAUUCAGAUAAAUGAUAAGGUAUUCCACUAUAUGGUGCAAGGAAUCCUUCACCAUUUGUAUAACCACCAUCUACAAGGUAAUAAUAACCUAAUAAAAAAAAACAUUAUUAGUGUUUUGUAGUUGACAAACAAAACUAGACCUAACUUACACAAUUGAGACUAAUUAAUACUCUUACCCAUUGGUACCUUAAAACCAUUAGGCCUAGUAAUUGCAUCAUAUAGCACUCUAGAGUCUGAUGCGGAACCCUCCCACCUCGGAAACAGAUAUAUGAAUUGCAUAUCUCCUGAACACACACCUAACACAUUAGUUGCGACUCGACCCUUUCUUGUUCGGUAUCUUGGUUUGUCAAUUUCAUGUACAUGUACAUCAAUGUGUGUUCCAUCUAUUGCUCCCAAGCAAUUCUAAAAAAAAAAAAAAAAAAAAAAAAAAAAAAAAGCUUUUGUUAAUUUAUACAAAGGGAAUGAAGAGUUAAAGCUUAGGGAAAAUGAAAAAAAAUUAUCAUACCUUAAAACAUCGCCACCUAGGAUCUGUAGAAUCAAUAGGCACAUGCUGAGGGACUUUUAGUAGGAUACCUUGUAAUCGCAAAAUUCCUUGCAAUACGCUAUUGAAAUACCUACUUAUAGUCUCUCCCAACCUAUAAAAUCUACCGCCAACACUACGAUUCUUAGUAUAAUGUGCUAGUAUUUGUAAAGUCAUACACACCUGCUCCUCUACAGACACCAAACCAUUAGUUUUUACCCUCCCAUCUUGACGAAGUAAGUCACAUAAUAUGGCAAAAGUCCUUCUAUCCAUUCUCAAUUCGUUGACACAUUCAAUAUCAGUAUUCCCUAUUAUACCAUUCAGAUAACACAAACUAAUCUCUCGUCUAAAAAGUGAACGGUUAGUCAAAGUGGGUCGUUCAACAUGUCUCUGUUUGGCCCUUACCAUCAUCAACACAAGAAUCGUACAAAUGCAAAUUGUCUCUAAAUGAGACAUCUCUAACAAUAAGAUCAAUAAAAGCUUCCUUCGAUCCAUAUCUAUCCAAACAAAAAAAAAGGAAAAUUAAAUAAUGACAUUAUAUAUGUAAUAUUUACUGUUAUUAAGGGUGAUGGAAAUGAAGUGAUUAUGAUACGAAAUGAACUAGAUCAAAAUAAACGGUAUACAAAGAAUUCUGAAACAAAUAACUGCAUUAACAGCCCAAAAAAUAACCAGCCAAGUCACAAUUAAUGUUGGAUCAACAAAAACAAAAAACCAGUCAAGUCACAAUUGCUAGGCAUUGCAUGUCAAGAGGGAAAUUAAAGGACACCUGUAAUGCAGUAGCCUUAGCCUUAUCCUUCCGUUUAUGCUUCUCUUCUCUGCAACCAACAACCACAGAAUAUUGUAGUUCAGCAUACAAAACAUUCACAUUGUAAUAUCAUGGUUAUAAACUAAAUACACACACACGCAGACACACACACUUACAGAGCACACACACACACACACUUACAGUGCAGAAUACACACACACACACACACACACACACACACACACAUACACUCACACUCACAGACCACCUAAAGAUACACACACACACACACACACACACACACACACACACACACACAUACAGACCAACUAAAGAUACACACACACACAGAAACACACCAACUAAACUCACAGACCACAAAAAAAACAUCCAUUCUAGUUCAAGAUCAAAAGAUGAGCAAUUAAGUAAGGACAAAAAUAGUUCAAACCGGACACUAAUCUUUUGAAUGAAACUCAAUCGCAACAUGAGGAGAAAAGCAGAGAGAUUGUUGCAGGGAGGACUUCCAGUUGGAACAAAAAUUCUAGACCAACCCUACCCCCUUCCCUGCCUCACCCUCUCUCGCUCCUCCCCUCCACGUUAAUGAGUACACACAAACACACGCAUGUACACACAGAAAUUACACACACACACACAGUACACAAACACACACACACAGAGUACACAAAUACACACACACACACACACACACACACACACACACACACACCCCACGUUAAUUAGUACACACAAACACACACACACACACAGUACACAAACACACACACACACAGUAAUGAGUACACACACACACACACACACACCCCACGUUAAUGAGUACACACAAACACACACACACACACAAAAAUUACAUACACACACACACACACAGAAAUUACAUACACACACACAGUACACACACACACACAGAAAUUACACACACACACACACACAGUUCACAACCACACACACACACACACACACACACCCCACGGUAAUGAGUACACACAAACACACACACACACACACAGAAAUUACACACACACAGAGUACACAAACACACACACACACACACAGAAAUUACACACACACACAAAGUACACAAACACACACACACAGAGUAAUGAGUACACACACACACACACACACACACACCCCCACGUUAAUGAGUACACACAAACACACACACACACACGCACAGAAAUUACACACACACACACGGAGAAAUUACACACACCACACACACACACCCCCCCCCCCACGUUAAUGAGUACACACAAACACACACACACACACACAGAGAAAUUACACACACACAUAGAGUACACAAACACACACACACAGAGUACACAAACACACACACACACACACACACACCCCCCCCCCCCCCCCCCCCCCCGUUAAUGAGUACACACAAACACACACACACACACACACAGAAAUUACACACACACACACAUAGUACACAAACACACACACACACACACACAUACACACCCCCCCACGUUAAUGAGUACACACAAACACACACACACACACACACACACAGAAAUUACACACACACACACACACACAGUACACAAACACACACACACACAGAGAAAUUACACACACAGUACACAAACACACACACACACAGAAAUUACACACACACACACACACACACAUAGAGUACACACACACACACACAGUACACAAACACACACACACACACACAGAAAUUACACACACAGUACACAAACACACACACACACACACACACCCCCACGUUAAUGAGUACACACAAACACACAUACAGAAAUUACACACACACACACACACACACCCCCCCCUCCACGUUAAUGAGUACACACAAACACACACACGCACACAUAGAAAUUAAACACACACACACACAAUACACAAACACACACACACACACAUACACACCCCCCCCACGUUAAUGAGUACACACAAACACACACACAAAAAUUACACACACACACACACAGUACACAAACACACACAGACACAGAGGAUAGUAAGACCCAAAAGUUCCAUCUUACCUGCCAAUAGCUAAAUGUUAAAUUUCUUGAACAACACAACCUAUAUGCCAAAUACCUGGACAGCUAACUAACGUUGGACAUUCGUUGUACUCAAUCAACAUAUAUCCCAGGACCAAGAAAGUUAUAAAGAAACAAAAUGAAACAAGAAUAAAAAAAAUGAAAACAAAAACUUAAGAGAAAAGAGAAAUGCAUAAUCAAGUUAUCCAUGCUCAGUGACAUUAGAAUAUGCAAACAGAAUAAUUGACCUCAUCAUCCAGAAAAGUUAAGCUAAAGAAACGCAAAUGUUUCGAUAUGAGCUAAAGCAUACCAAAACAACUAUGCCCAGUCAUGUUCGAUUAACCUAAUUUGGCAGUGAAAGGCCUUCUAGUGAAUGACAUGACUUUAACACUAAAUCGAGAAGAGGAAACUCUUCUGCACUAACUCAUCAAUUCAUCCUAAUUUGGCAGAUAGAAACAUACAGUGAAAGAGGUGCUUGGAGAGAGUAUGCUUGGAGACGAGGAUUUUUGGUAAUGACAUACACAUUACACACACACACACACACACACACGCAGACACACACACACAGAGUACUCCCAUUGUUGAAACAUCAAUUUUUAAAAAUCGAAAACAACAUGUGGGUAGGACUUCCAAGUUUUACAACUUUGACAUCCUAAAUUCCCAAGUUCCAUCUCAUCUUAUGAAAAGCCCAAAUUCUAAUUUCAAUUUCACCUAAAUGUCAAAACCCUAAUUUAUUCAAGUGCAGAUCUCUAUGAUUCAAAAAUUAUCAAACCCAAAACAAUAAAAUCAAAUAAAGCUCAGUAAAAUUACCAUCUGCAAUACAAAUACAUGAAAUUAAUAGAAGAAUCGAAGUUUACCAUACAACUCAGAUGAGGGCCAGCAUAUUGAUAAGUGAAUAUUAUAUUAUAUAUUUAACCCUAUUCUUAGUAUAUUUUGGAUAAUAUUUUGGAAGAAUUUUGAUACUUUAAAUUGUAUUUUCAAUAUAGGACUUUCGACUUCCUCUGGAACAAAACGUGGUCAAAUGGACGAAUUUCGGAGUAAUUCCAAUUAGAAGACGUUCGUGAGUCACUUAGCUUGGUCAUAUCAAAAUUUGGGAUUUUUCCAUCAAACGGUUAUUUUCUGGCGAUAAAAUAAAGGAGCGAUGCGCGGUGCUGGAAAAUGACGUUUCUGGGCUUAAAUUGCGUUUUUGGAGCCCAAGAUGACCUCGGAUGGUUUCGUGGCCUUCUAGAGAUGUGUUCGGAAGGUCCUUAUCUUUAAAACAAGCUAUCUUGAGCCGGAUUUGGAGGAGAUCUGAGGCUAAAACGUGGCUGGACAAAUACUUGGCAGAUUCUCCUAGUUUAAUUAGGGUUUUAUUUUCUAAGAUAUUUUAUUAUUUUUCUUAGUUUCCUAGUUGGAAUAAAAAAAAAACCUAUGUCUUAGGGUUUGUGGAGGUUGAGCAAAUAUAUUGCUUUGGCCGUCUACAAUUUUUGGGGAUGCUUAUUAUUAUUCAACUUCAGAGACAAAGAACUUGGCUAGGGUUCUUUGAGAUUUUCUACUUCAAGGUGCUUUCAUUCCUUUUAUUUGUAAUAAUAUUUUCUUUUCAAUUAUGAAUAUGCAUAACUAAUUCCUUUUGCUAGGGCGAAGCCUUGAGCCUUAGCAUGAAUAUGUAAUUUUUAUUUAAUUGCUUACGAUUGAUUGCAUGCGCACUUUGAAUUAUUGAUCACUGUUUUAAACUAUCUAAUUAUCUUGAUGAUUGGCCACCAUUAGGAUGUUUAGACAAGUAAUUGGAUGCAAUUCGGUCGGAAUAUCACCGGGGGAUUGAGUAUUGCUUCUUGUGAUUAAUAAUUGUAAUUCCAUCUAAGGCGAAUAUCACGUUCUUAGGGGUUGCAUGGUUCUUAAAAAGGUUUUCAUAAAACUUCAGGAGUCUUGCAUGUUCAUAUUUGAUCUGAAUAUCACAGACGGAUUGCAUGUUAGAUAUAUGUUCUUGCUUGAAUAUCACGAGGAGAAUAUAUAUUAGGAAAACCUAACCUCGAAGUAGCAUGUGUAAAUCGUAAGUAAUUGGUAGAAAUUCAUAGGAUUGCUGGGUGAUGGUGGAACCCUAGUGCCUUUAUAACUUGGUAUUUAAAAAUCUUUUCUUCGAUUAUAUUAGUUUUUAAUUAAAAUUCGUUUUUUUUUUUAAUUUACCCAAUCUCAAACUCUAUUUUCUCAAGUUUUAAUUCUAAGUAUUUUGAUUAGGAAUUGUUUCUACAUAAAUUAUCCCAAUAGUCCUUGAGGAAAACGACCUUGCAUGAGCAUCUAUACUAUGAUAUCCUUGUAUUCUUGCAAGUAUUUCAUGUGAUUUUGACCCUAUUUGCAUAGACUUAAAAAUCCUAUCACAUAUGCAGAGAUCGGAAGACGCAGAGAUGAGGGUGAGGAGGACGAAGAUGAGGGAGCACGGCAAGGACGACGUUGAGGGAACGUAGAGAUGAGGACGAAGGGAAGACGCAGAAAAUCUCUCGGUUUGCUCUGGCUUACGAAUCCGCCCAAUUUUGGGGUUGCUCGUUAAGAACGGCUAAGGAGGUACUUAGUCCAAGCGAGUCCGGGUUAAGCUCAUUAAAGCUAAUCCGGAUGCACACCAAACGUCGGACUAUAGUCUAGUCCAGUCCAAGCCCUCUUAAUCCUGUCAAACAAACGUGCCCUAUGGGCAAACAUGCGAAAAUAGGGUGAAAAGAUCUUUGGUUCAGAAGUCGGUCCAGUGGCCAGAAUCGGUCUUGGACCGGUCUGGGCCUUGGGGCGAGUAGCCAGAGUGAGUCCUGGAGCUGGGCAACCCGCCUGGUUGGUUGGGUCAUGCACUGGGCUCAUAUGUGGGCCACCUGCCUGUGGGUUUGCGUUGCAAUGGCUGCGGCUUGAGUUUAGGCCUACUGCUGCAAUUGCUGCAGUGGGCUAGGUUUCCUGCCCUCAACCUGUUGUGGUAUAGGCUCCAAUUUAGGCCUCCUUCCCUAGGUGGUGAUGGCAAUGGCAACAAGGGCUACUACCUGUGGCCACAUGGUGGUUGCUACAUUGCAGUCGUGGUGAUAAUGGCGUUCCGCGACGGUGGGGCUUCUGUUGCUGUUGUGUUGAACCUCGAGGACCGUCUUCAUGAGGCCACGUCAUCGUCUUCGUUCUCUAAUCCAAAUCCUUAAAUUAUGGGGUUCCAUUCGUCGUGGUUUCAGAAUUUCCUUUCAUUGUAUCUUUACUCCAGGGACUAAUCAAAGAAUUUUUCUAGGAAAAAUUUCAAUGACUAGGAGCAUAUGAGAAAUUCAACAUAACAAAAAAUUCCAAGAACCAAAUUCUUCGAGCGUUUGAAUCAGGCUCUCAAUGAAAGCACCAAUUUGUGGUAGCAAAUUUUUUUCGCCUUUGAUCUUGACGAAAAUGUACCUACAAAACAAUCAACACCUUUAAUCAAAGACUAAGGUCUCAUGCUCAAUUUUGAUUCAGUGUUUAGAUAAAGAAGAAGAAAUUAAGUUUUCAAAUUAUAUAAUAAACGCAUUUAUGCAAAGGGUUGAGUUUCGUAACAAAUCGUGUAAAUUCAAUUCCAAGCAUGACUCGGGAAAAUUCUCCAACCAUGCCACACACUACAGUUGGAUUUCCUCUACAAUUAGUUGCAAGUUGGAAACUUCAUUCACCACGUGAUAAGUCAGGUGGUGAGGAGAGGUGUAUGAAUGUAUGUGUCUAUCACUAGACGUUACAACUUCAAUGAUCAUACUAUAAAAAUUGAUCACUAGUGAGAGACUAUCCAUAUGCUAUGUUUAUGUAGAAGAAUUUAUCCACAUGAGGAUAAGAAAGAUAGAAGAAGGAAUAUAUGUAAUGCGAGAGCACUUUCAUGUGUAACAGUCAUACCAAAAAAUUUCUCCACAUGAUUAUUUAAAAAAUACGUAAAGAUAGUCCAUAUUUUCAGAAUGUUUAUCUCCACAAUAAAUUGUAAGAACAAGUUGCUUGAAAGUUUCCCUCCGCUAUAAGAAGCGUGAACCAAGUACGUGGAAGUUUCUCUUAAAAAACAAAGACUUCUUUAAAGGCCCAAGAGUCAACUUGGAAUCCAUUCAACAUUUUGUCAAGAAAUCCAUUCAACAUUCGGCUCGUAUUGUAUUUCAUCGUUCAAUUUGGAUUCCACAGAAACCACGUGGGUCUUUCUCUCUCCUUUCUCACACCCUUCCCUCAACACUCCUACAUAACCUCCCACCCACACCUCUUCCCUCUCAACGGCUCUCACAAUUCCCCUAACCUAACACAAGCAAUUCAUCAAACACUAGCGCGCACUCUUCAUCGAUCAUGGCAGCCAAUUCCCGGACGCUCGAAAUCAAGGUGAUCUCCGCUGAGAAUCUGCAAUUAGAUAGAAAACCCAUCAAGAAAAACGCUACCGUGACCGUCUGGACUGACGGCAACAGCCAGUUUUGCUCCACGGACAUGGACAUCGAUGGGGGCGCCUACCCACGGUGGAACGAGAAGCUCGUGCUCAACUUCCCAACGCACUCCAAGUCCAUCACGGUGGAGGUCCAAUGCAAGACUUCGUCCGGCAUCAGGACGAUCGGGACGGCGACGAUUCCGGAGUCGGAUUUUGUUGGCGGGUACGUGCCAGAGGGUUGCAUGCAUUUUUUGAGUUACAGGCUGAGAGAUCACAAGGGGGAGAGGAAUGGGAUUAUUAAUAUUUCUGUGAGGAUGAACGUUCAUGAGAUGUACGCUUGUGCAAGUUCAACGACGUGGUCUCACUCGCAGAUGGGGUUUCCGGCGGAUGGGAACAAAAGUUUUGGCGGCGGCGUUGUAACCGGAGUUCCGGUUUGGUGUGGUGCCUAUCAGAAAAAUUAUUGAAGAUCCAAGGCACAAUUUCUUGUGCGUAAAUAUUACAGGAUUUAGACUUUUGGUUAAGGAAUAUACAAACUCAAGGUCUUUUGUGUUGUUGAAAGAAAUUUGAUGCAACCAUUUAAUUCAUUGUUACAAUACUUGAUUGUUUUUGUUUUGAUUAAAAGAAAUUUUCUCAAUAUCUUAUAGUGAUUGUAAUUAUAUAUUAUCAACGCCCACCAUUUCCUCAAAUUUUCUGCUUGCACAACACAUUUACAAUGUGCCGGCACCAGGUAGCCGACAGCAAAUAGGGUGAAAUGCUUAUUUAGUCUCUAAACUCUCACUUCAGUAAAAAUUAGGUAUCUGAAUUAUUUUUUGGGUAAAAUAAGUCCCUAAAUUCAAUAAAAACUGCUAAUUUGAUCCCUACUAUUAUAUUCAAAACUAUUUUAUCCAAUUUUUUGUCAAUUUAAAUCACUUGACACACUUUAGGGUGUAAUACCGUUUUUUUCUCGCCCAUAAGCCCUUAACAUGUCGUAUAGGUUGCGAAUCUAAUAUCUAAUUUACCCUCCAAAGUUAACUCCAUGCACUAUUUCUUUAUGAAAAAUUACCAAUCUACCAUUCAAUGUGUAUCACAUGCAAAUAACGUGACUUAAAUUGACAGAAAAUUGAAUAUAAUAGCUUUGAAUCUAAUAUUAGGGAUGUAAUUGGUAGAUUUUUAUAAUUCAAUGACUGAUUUUUUUGAAAACAAAUAAUAAUUUAAAAACCUAAUUUUCACUUAAAUAAUAAUUAAGGGACUAAUUUGGCGGUUCACCCUUACAUAUAUAUUGCAUAUAUACUAAACCAAUUUACGCAGAAGCAGAUAGGGAAGCAGUGGGUCAAAUUCAUUGUGAUAUUUGAAAUAGCUGACAACGGCAACAGUCGAGUAAUGCACACCACCUUUGACUUGAUUAACCAGUGGUUGGGAGAAACGCAUUACUAAAAACCCUAAUCACCAAGGUAAUUUACCACUUUCUAGCGAUAUUCUACCACUGGUCGUUUAUUUACUAGUUACCUUAUCAAAAUUUGUGGACCCAAUAAAUUGUUGAUCUAUGAAUUAAAAAUUCAUGAGUAAAUGUUCUUUCACAUAAUACCAUUAAAAUUACGUCCAAAAUAUUGAGUAUAAAUGGAAUACGGAUGAACAUUUUAACAGAAUUAUCCAAAAGAACCAUUGCAUUGCAUUGCAUUGUGACAAGUUUAAAGACCAAUACUCAUAAAUUUUUGGCUAAAUUGAAUUAAUGGUCCCUGUGGUGAUAGGUUAAUUGGAUGAUAACCCUCGUGGUGAAAAAAUUUGAAUUUAAACCCUCGUGGUGAAGUUCCAUUAGAAUCCAAGCCCAAAAUUAACAUUGAUGUCAACUUUUGUUAACAUUUCCACCUUGGUUCUUUGGUUCUGCCUCUCCCUGCCUGGUUCUUAGCAUCCCAUCUCUCUCUCAUUUUCUCUCCAGAUUUUCGGCCUGGAGCAAACCAAUGGAUGUUUAUCUGCAUCCCAGCACCCAAAUCAUAGAGUCAUAGCUAUAGUUAUGGAACAUAUGAAUUAAUUAACUAAUAAUUUUCAGCUCCAAAAUAAAAGUAAUUAAUAGCAACAACAACAACAACAAAGCCUUUUCCCACUAAGUGGGGUCGGCUAUAUGAAUCCUAGAACGCCAUUGCGCUCGGUUUUGUGUCAUGUCCUCCGUUAGAUCCAAAAUCAAGUCUUUUCUUAGGGUCUCUUCCAAAGUUUUCCUAGGUCUUCCUCUACCCCUUCGGCCCUGAACCUCUGUCCCGUAGUCACAUUUUCGAACCGGAGCGUCAGUAGGCCUUCUUUGCACAUGUCCAAACCUCGGAUAUCCUCAUUCCCAAUCUUAUCCUUUCUCGUGUGCCCAUACAUCCCACGAAGCAUCCUCAUCUCCGCUACACCCAUUUUGUGUACGUGUUGAUGCUUCACCGCCCAACAUUCUGUGCCAUACAACAUCGCUGGCCUUAUUGCCGUCCUAUAAAAUUUUCCCUUGAGCUUCAGUGGCCUACGACGGUCACACAACACGCCAGAUGCACUCUUACACUUCAUCCAUCCAGCUUGUAUUCUAUGGUUGAGAUCUCCAUCUAAUUCUCCGUUCUCUUGCAAGAUAGAUCCUAGGUAGCGAAAACGGUCAUUUUUUGUGAUCUUCGCUAGAUUGCUCCGGUCAUUAGUGUGGAUAAGUAUAUAAAUGGAUAGAGAUAGGAAAGCAAACACAAGAUGUACGUGGUUCACCCAGAUUGGCUACGUCCACGGAAUAGAGGAGUUCUCAUUAAUUGUGAACGGUUUACACAAGUACAUAGGUUCAAGCUUUCCUUUAGUGAGUACAAGUGAAUGAUUUAGUACAAAUGACAUUAGGAAAUAUUGUGGGAGAAUGAUCUCGUAACCACGAAACUUCUUAGUACUGGAGUGUGGUAUCGUCUUGACUUUCCUUAUCUGUCUCAUAGGUAGAUGUGGCAUCUUCUCUGGAAGUACUCUUCCUCCAUCCAGGGGUGGUAUCUGUAACUGAUGGAGAUGCACAAGGUAAUGUAUCAAUGUCACUUGAAGCUUACUUGUAGUUUCAGGCUUGGUCAAGCGCGAUACAAACCAUGUAGUAGGAGUCCCCCAAGUCGCCGAGCUAGGGGAUCUGCUGAAAGAGGUGACAGACAAGGUAAGCAAUCAGAGCUCCGGCUGAUUGUUCACAUUCUCCCUAUCUUGCAGGCAGCAUGAAGGAUAAAGAGAAGAAAAAUGAGAAGAUAUGAUAUGGGAUACUUUUGCUUUUGAAGAAGUAACUUUCCACAGGCUUAUUCUUGAACUGGGUUGGAGGGUUUUCUGGUUUCCUCCAGAGAUAAGGUCGACUGAAGAAUUUGAGGGUCAAAACAAGUCCAUCAAAUCUAGAGUACGUUCGACCCUGCUGAUAUGGGAUACUUUUGCUUUUGACAGAGUAAUGGAUGUAUCGGCACGUGUGCUGUUACGCUUGUCUCCACAUGCUUCCUUGUAUCCUUCUCACUUGCCCUAUCUGUUCCUCAGGCAGAUGCGGGAUCUUCCCUAGAAGCAUAAGGUGUUGAAGAUGAGUACUCGAGAGCAAUGCCAAGUAAGUAAUCAGGUAAGGGGUUCCAGGCAGUCAGUUCCUGGCUGGAAGCUUGAUUCCAAGUGCUGACUAAUUGCUCUCUUUCUCCUUGUCUUGCAGGUAAGAACAAGGCCAAAAGAAAAGACAGGGAAAAAGCAUGAUAUGGGAUACUCUUGCUUUUAACCCUGAUGAUAUGAGAUAUUCUUGCUCUAGUAUAGCUUGUUUACAGAGGUAUUAUCGGGGGGAAAGAAAGCUGAAUAUUUCGAAAGGCUUCGUUGGGAGUGCCCUCUCAGAUAAGAGGAAGGGUUGAGCAUUUUUGCAGGUCUGCCUGUCCGUUGGGGAUGGAGGUCGACAUAUAUAGGAGUCUCCCUAACAUCAAGUAAUAAUGUUAUUCCUUUACCCUGCUUGGUCAUAGCACGGUAGUGGGAGCUGCCAGCUUCACAAGUUUUAACUCUGUCAGAGCACUUUGAAAAAGUGGUCUGUGGUAUCUGGAAAGCUGAUGUUGCGUGUGAAGAUUACAGACAAGCUUUAUCCAAGGAGAUCCAGCUCUUGAAGUUGGGAAAGUGGUGCCUCUUCGGUUUUCGAACAAGCAAUCCUGUCGGGGAUCUGGCUCUCGAGAUUCGGAGAACGAUGCCUCUUCGAUUUUUGAGAAAGCAAUCCUAAUGGGGGUCUGGCUCUCGAGAUUCGGAGAGCGGUGUCUUCGAUUUUUGAGAAAGUAAUCAUGUUGGGAGUCUGGCUCUCGAGAUUCGGAGGGCGGUGAUGCCUCUUCGAUUUUUGAGAAAGCAAUCCUACUGGGGGUCUGGCUCUCGAGAUUCGGAGAACGAUGCCUCUUCAAUUUUUGAGAAAGCAAUCCUACUGGGGGUCUGGCUCUCGAGAUUCGGAGAGCGGUGUCUUCGAUUUUUGAGAAAGUAAUCAUGUUGGGAGUCUGGCUCUCGAGAUUCGGAGGGCGGUGCCUCUUCGAUUUUGGAGCAAACAAUCUUGUUGGGAGUGUUUUCUCGAAUGUGAGUAAAGGUUGGGCAUGUUUGCUAGUCUACCUUGCCACGAAGCACAGAGGUCGACACACAGGGACUUUCCAAUUAUCCAGCAGUGGUACUGUUCAUUUACCCUCUCUUCGAUUUUUGAGAAAGUAAUCAUGUUAGGAGUCUGGCUCUCGAGAUUCGGAGGGCGGUGCCUCUUCGAUUUUGGAGCAAGCAAUCUUGUUGGGAGUGUUUUCUCGAAUGUGAGUAAAGGUUGGGCAUGUUUGCUAGUCUACCUUGCCACGAAGCAUAGAGGUUGACACACAGGGACUUUCCGAUUAUCCAGCCGUGGUACUGUUCCUUUACCCUCUCUUCGAUUUUUGAGAAAGUAAUCAUGUUGGGAGUCUGGCUCUCGAGAUUCGGAGGGCGGUGCCUCUUCGAUUUUGGAGCAAGCAAUCUUGUUGGGAGUGUUUUCUCGAAUGUGAGUAAAGGUUGGGCAUGUUUGCUAGUCUACCUUGCCACGAAGCACAGAGGUUGACACACAGGGACUUUCCGAUUAUCCAGCCGUGGUACUGUUCCUUUACCCUCUCUUCGAUUUUUGAGAAAGUAAUCAUGUUGGGAGUCUGGCUCUCGAGAUUCGGAGGGCGGUGCCUCUUCGAUUUUGGAGCAAGCAAUCUUGUUGGGAGUGUUUUCUCGAAUGUGAGUAAAGGUUGGGCAUGUUUGCUAGUCUACCUUGCCACGAAGCACAGAGGUUGACACACCGGGACUUUCCAAUUAUCCAGCAGUGGUACUGUUCCUUUACCCUUGUGGGUAAUAAUAUGGUAGCUAGACCUUCAAAAUUUAUGUGUCUAAACUUUGUUAGUGUUGUUUCUUUGCUAAUCUUUUACCCUUCUUGGUCAGAGCGAUGUAGUGGGAGCUGCAAGCUUCAUGUGUCUCAACUUUGUCAGAGAACUUUGGCAAAGUUAUAUGUGGUACCCAUGAGCUACUGUUGCGUGUGGGAAGUGGGUGAUUGAACAGUACGAUUCAUGUGCUUUCUACUUCGCCAGAAAUCUUCGACAGAAUGCCCAUAAUUUCCGCAAAGCUGAGUGUGCGUGUGAUAGGUGCUAACAGGGCUAGAAAAGUAGGUGCCUCUUCGAUUUCUGAGAUCGGCCCUCAUGGUCUCUGAGCAGCCCAGCUUUUGAGAAAGCAAGCCUCUUCGAUUUCUGAGAUCAGCCUUCGUGGUCUUUGAGCAGCCCAGCUUUUGAGAAAGCAAACGCCUCUUCGAUUUCUGAGAUCGACCCUCGUGGUCUCUGAGCAGCCCAGCUUUUGAGAAAGCAAACGCCUCUUCGAUUUCUGAGCAGGCGCCUCUUCGAUUUCUGAAGCUUCAUCGAGUGCAGAUUUUUAUAGGGGCAGACAUUAAGUUCCAAAGCACACUUGAAUAUCCACCAGUAGAAGCUCCAUUCUUGCACUUCUAAGAUCUUGAUUUGUCCGACCUCUUCUCUCUUCAACACCUUUGAAAAUGUCUGGCCCCUCCGACCGUCGUUUUGACUUGAACCUUGUUGAAGAGGUAGCCCUGCCUUCUCCAGACAACAUAUGGCGCCCAUCCUUCGUCUCCCCUACUGGUCCUCUUACCGUUGGGGAUUCCGUGAUGAAGAAUGAUAUGACCGCUGCGGUAGUGGCCAGGAACCUUCUCACUCCCAAAGAUAACAGACUACUUUCCAAACGGUCUGAUGAGUUGGCUGUUAAGGAUUCUCUGGCUCUUAGUGUUUAGUGUGCAGGUUCUGUGUCUAAUAUGGCCCAACGCCUAUUUGCUCGAACCCGCCAAGUUGAAUCAUUGGCGGCUGAAGUGAUGAGUCUCAAACAGGAGAUUAGAGGGCUCAAGCAUGAGAAUAAACAGUUGCACCGGCUCGCACAUGACUAUGCUACAAACAUGAAGAGGAAGCUUGACCAGAUGAAGGAAUCUGAUGGUCAGAUUUUACUUGAUCAUCAGAGAUUUAUGGGUUUGUUCCAAAGGCAUUUAUUGCCUUCGUCUUCUGGGGCUGUACCGCGUAAUGAAGCUCCAAAUGAUCAACCUCUGAUGCCUCCUCCUUCUAGGGUUCUGUCCAGUACUGAGGCUCCGAAUCAUCCCCCUCCGGUGCCUUCUCUUUCUGGGGCUCUACCGACUGCUGAGACUUCUCCUAAGCAACCUUUGUGAAGGCUCCCUCUUGUUUGUUUAUUUUGACUCAAGUAUAUGUACAUAUUUGUAACUUAUCGGGGAUAUCAAUAAAUAAGCUUUCCUUCAUUUCAACGUAUUGUGUUAAAUACACCCAAAGCCUUCUUCGCUAAGUUCUUUGAAUUCUCUUUUUGUUGAAGCUUGUAUGUUGAAGCUUUGUGAGUGGAGCAUAUAGGUUGAGGUAGUGUUCCCUUAAUUUCCCGAGUGAGGAAAACUUCUCGGUUGGAGACUUGGAAAAUCCAAGUCACUGAGUGGGAUCGGCUAUAUGAAUCUUAGAACGCCAUUGUGUUCUGUCCUGUGUCAUGUCCUCCGUUAGAUCCAAGUACUCUAAGUCUUUUCUUAGGGUCUCUUCCAAAGUUUUCCUAGGUCUUCCUCUACCCCUUCGGCCCUGAACCUCUGUCCCAUAGUCGCAUCUUCUAAUCGGAGCGUCAGUAGGCCUUCUUUGCACAUGUCCAAACCACCGUAACCGAUUUUCUCUCAUCUUUCCUUCAAUUUCGGCUACUCCUACUUUACCCCGGAUAUCCUCAUUCCUAAAUCUUAUCCUUUCUCGUGUGCCCACACAUCCAACGAAGCAUCCUCAUCUCCGCUACACCCAUUUUGUGUACGUGUUGAUGCUUCACCGCCCAACAUUCUGUGCCAUACAGCAUCGCCGGCCUUAUUGCCGUCCUAUAAAAUUUUCCCUUGAGCUUCAGUGGCAUACGGCGGUCACACAACACGCCGGAUGCACUCUUCCACUUCAUCCAUCCAGCUUGUAUUAUAUGGUUGAGAUCUCCAUCUAAUUCUCCGUUCUUUUGCAAGAUAGAUCCUAGGUAACGAAAACGGUCGCUCUUUGGUAUUUCUUGAUCUCCGAUCCUCACCCCUAACUCGUUUUGGCCUCCAUUUGCACUGAACUUGCACUCCAUAUAUAUUCUGUCUUUGAUCGGCUUAGGCGAAGACCUUUAGAUUCCAACACUUCUCUCCAAAGGUUAAGCUUUACAUUUACCCCUUCCUGAGUUUCAUCUAUCAACACUAUAUCGUCUGCGAAAAGCAUACACCAAGGAAUAUCAUCUUGAAUAUGUCCUGUUAACUCAUCCAUUACCAACGCAAAAAGGUAAGGACUUAAGGAUGAGCCUUGAUGUAAUCCUACAGUUAUGGGGAAGCUUUCGGUUUGUCCUUCAUGAGUUCUUACGGCAGUCUUUGCUCCUUCAUACAUAUCCUGUAUAGCUUGGAUAUAUGCUACUCGUACUCAUUUCUUCUCUAAAAUCCUCCAAAGAAUGUCUCUUGGGACCCUAUCAUACGCUUUUUCCAAAUCUAUAAAGACCAUGUGUAAAUCAUUUUUCCCAUCUCUAUAUCUUUCCAUCAAUCUUCGUAAGAGAUAGAUUGCCUCCAUGGUUGAGCGCCCUGGCAUGAACCCGAAUUGGUUGUCUGAAACCCGUGUCUCUUGCCUCAAUCUAUGCUCAAUGACUCUCUCCCAGAGCUUCAUUGUAUGACUCAUUAGCUUAAUACCCCUAUAGUUCAUGCAAUUUUGUACAUCACCCUUAUUCUUGUAGAUAGGCACCAAAGUGCUCGUUCGCCACUCAUUUGGCAUCUUCUUCGUUUUCAAAAUCCUAUUGAAAAGGUCAGUGAGCCAUGUUAUACCUGUCUCUCCCAAAACUUUCCACACUUCGAUUGGUAUAUCGUCUGGGCCUACUGCUUUUCUAUGCUUCAUCUUCUUCAAAGCUACAACCACUUCUUACAUUUAAAUAAUUAGUCUGAGAAAUAAAGUUUUAUGAGGGUGUCGAGCCCACAUUGUAGCUGUAGUUUUACUGAUCGAAAUCACAGAAGUACAGAACCUCUUUCUAUUCUGGAGCCGACUGAAAAUGUCGUGCUUAACAUAACACUGUUGUUCCUUUCUCUCCUCUCUCUUCAGCUUCCCUUCGUUAUUUUUUAUUUCCUUUUGAGAUAAAACAAUCAAACCUCAAACAAAGAUAAUUCUUCAGUGGAUGAUGAUGAGGUCUGCUUACUGCUCCUCUUUUCAUGUUUCUUGGGUUUUGUUUUGCUUGAUUGGUGUGUUCUCAACAAAUUAGUCCGGAUUGGUUUUGUUGGUAGGUUCAGAUUUCAUCAUUUCUACAGCUAACAAAACCAAUCAAGAAAUGUUAAUCUAACAAAACCAACCACGGACACGUUAACAGAAAAAAGACGGAAAUGUUAAUAGGGUAAUCUAGAAAAAAGACGGAGUGGGUUAACAGAGAUGUUAAUUUUGGGCUUAAAUCCUAACGGAACUUCACCACGAGGGUCUAAAUCCGAAUUUUUUCACCAUGGGGGUUAUCUUCCUAUUAACCUAUCACCAUGGGGACCAUUAAUCAAAUUUAGCCUAAAUUUUUAAUUAAUGGACCAAAACUCUAAUUCCACUAAAACUUAGGGACCAAUCCAAAUUUGCUUUUAAAAAUAAAAAUUUCUAGUUACCCUAUAUCUUCUUUUUGAAGUCCUAAUCCUUCUUGAAAAAUAAUCCCCCACGCAUUAAUUAAGCAUAGUAAUCAUCUAUUCUAUUUUCUGAUUUAGCACUACAACAAGUUAGUUUACACUAACUUUAUAUAAUAUAUCGAUUUUGGGUUUGUAAUUGAACAUUAAAGUUUCAUGUUCACCCCAAAAUGGCCUGGCAUAAGCAUUCAUUGAACGCUUCAAUUGAUCGCUUGGUCAUUGGUCAUACGUACCAAACUCUCAACCCUUACCUGGGACAAUGCACUACUUUAGCUAUGUUAGUCCACAUGAUGCUCAUGUCACCCAAUCCUAUUUGAGCAUUACAGUUGGUAACUGGGUACAAACCUGAAGUUUUGUACUUACGUGUCUUGGGUGGACACUUUAUGUGCUAAUUGAGCCGUUGCAAUGUACCAUUAUAGGUCCUCACAAAGGGAUAUGAAUCAAUGUCAAUUUUGAUUCUCGUAAGCCCUUACAAGCGAUUAUGUCACUUCAAUUAGAACGUCACACAUUCUUGAAGAAUGAAGCGAAUUAUUAUGGACGUCCCCACUAUGUCUCAUCUCAAUCCCUAAUCUAGAUCAUUGAUGCGAAAAUUAACUUAACACACAAAUUUAACCAUCUUUUGACAAUUGUAGUAUAAGUAUAAGUAGGGAUCGUUCUGGACCGAUGAUUAGGAGGACUUGCUAAUAACCUCUAAACUGACUCAAAAACAUAAAACUAAACUUAAAAACACUUAACAAGAUUCACAAGACUCAAAGCAAACUUAAAAUACUCAAAACAGCUUAAAACAAUCAAAUAAACUUAAACUAGACACUAGGAAUGACUUUGGACGAAAAUUGACUUUUACUUGAAUCAAAACACUUAAAAACACAAACUAAAACAGAUUUGAAACACUUUGAAACAAGAAACUAAAAAGGGGGUUUUGAUUUGGAUGAAGUUGUAACAAACAAACAAGUAUGAAAAACUAGACAGAUUGUAAAACGAAUGUAAGAAAUAAGAUGAUGGAUAGGAUAGCUAGAGGCUUUUUCUCCACACAUGAUAUGUAUGCAAAUAAUUCGAUUUCCAGUUGCUACUUCAUUGAAUUAUGAACGACAAUGCUCCAAAUUAACCGUGACAUCACUAAUUAACUCUCAGAUUUUCCUUGUUUUAUUGGAUUGGAUGACAUCAUUUGACAACCCAAAACAUUCUUCAAAAGUUCCCUACAUGACAUCAUAAUAGAGAUACAAUCAAAUAUCAUUACGUUUAAUGAAAAUCAUAAGCAUUGACAAAGCACUUGCAACUAUGACAUCAUGUCACUCAUGCUAGGAAUUGAACUUAACGCGAUCGUUUAUAAGCGACCUUCACUACAUGUGAAUAUAAGUUUGUAACGAUUAUGUGAAACUUCCUUAUACUCUAGCAACGGAUUUAUGCAUGCCAAUUAAGUGUCAACCCUUAAUUAAAAAAUACAAAUAAGUUAUCAAUCAAAUAGUUAAGCCAAUUGCAUUCAUGAUUCAAGAGUUUAUAACUGGAAUUUAUCAAAUCAUAUUACACACAUAAUCAUGGCUUUGAAAUCACCCCUAACUAAGAGGGGUUUAGCCACUCAUAUUCAUAACAAUACGAAAGAAAAUGAAUUUAAACAUUGGAAACAAAAGAAAGAAAACACAUAAACGUUCCAACGAUCCAAGUUGGACAGCAAGCAUGUCCAAACACUUUCCUUCCCUUCCUUUGCUACGGCACAAGGUGUUGGUGAGUGUUUGAAGGUUUGUUUGUAUGGAAGAAUGGAUGUAAAGAUGAAUGGAUGUGUUUGGAUAAAGGUUGUAUCGAAAUGGGGAUCAAUAAUCAAGCAAAAACUGAACUAUAUGGCUGCCACACACACUUCCUUUUAUAGAGGAAGUGCACGGCAAUGGAGGGAAAUUGGUGGUGUGUGCAAUGAUUCAAGGAUGAAAAUGAAGUAAUGAUGCAAAGCAUGGGGGGUAAAAUGGAGUGGUGUUGCAGCAAUAAGUGCAUGAAGUGGUGAUUGAAAUGAUUCAAAGGUGAAAGUGAAGUGAUGAUGCAAAGCAUGGGGGGUAAAAUGGAGUGAUGUUGCAGCUAUGAAUGCAAGUAGGGAACAUGAAUGAUUGUGCACAUGGUAUAGAAAAGAAAGGGAGGUGGAAUGAUGCAGAAAUGAGUCAAAGGUGCAGCAAGACUCAUGAUGCACGACAUAGGAUUCCAAAUAUGGUGGAUGGUGCAUCAAUGAGUGCAUGUAGUGGAGGUAAAGGUUGUAUGAAAUCUGAUGGGUGAAGGGGACAAGGAAUGUGCAGCAAUUGAGUACAAUGAUUCAAUGUUUUGGUGCAUGAAAUCAGAAAUAAUGAAGGAGACAAGGGUGGUGCACGGCAUAGAUGGAUAAUGAGUGUAAUGGUGCAUGAAAUGAGUGCAGGAAAUCUAGUGCAUGAAGGGGACAAGGGUGAUUAUGCAUGACAUGGGUGGAAAGGUGAGUAAAUGGUGAAUCAAUGAGUGCAAGGAGGUGAAAGGAUAUUAUGUACAUGGAAAGGAAGUGGAAUGGUGCAGCAAAUGAGUGCAAUGAGGGAACAUGGAUGAAUGUGCACGGCAUGGGUGGUAAAAUGAAGUGAUUUAUGGCAAAAAAUAGGAAAUGAAUGGCUCCCUUGCACGGCAAGGAAGAGAAUGGUGAAGGAUGGUAUGGCUUGGACUUUUAGGGCAGGUUUAGGACUUGUAGAAUAUGUAAUGAAAUGUCCCAAAGUAUUUAGGAACCCUUCGUGUGACCAAAUCUUUGGUAAUUUAGGAUUAGGAAAGAUAACGACAAGAUAAGGCAAGUUUGACUAGUCUUUCCUUAUUCUUAAUGGUUUCCUUGUCUUCCUUGGUCCUCAAUUUAUUUUCUUCCUUUCCUUGGCACAUUCCUAGCUUCUUUAGAUCUUUAAUUUUGUCCAACCACUUUGCUCUAUGCAUGUGAUAUCCAUUCCAUGCCCAAAACUACUCCAAAAGACACCAAAAUGCACUUCUUUGCCUCUUUAACCCUUUGUACCUACAACCACAUGAAAAUGGCUUGAAAUACUAAAUCAACUAAGAAAUAACAACAUAAAUGCACAAGAACAAGCUAACUAAGUCGCAUAUGCUCCUAUCAAUCAUCAGAGUGGUACCAGACGCUUUAUCUAAUCUAGUAAAUGUGACAAGAUCACAUAUACUAGCUGCAAACAUGUUUGCAAUGAUUUAUGUAUCUAGGUAGGCCGCUUCGCCUAGUGGUCGGCCUAGUAUAUCGGCGGCUAGCCAAUCAAUUUGUUGUCUGCCUAAAGUGCGAUAGAUCACUUGGUUUGAAGGAUUCACCUUAUCAGAAGUGGAGGAAUAUGGCACAAACAAAUCCCUCCUUAGAUUGUUGUCUCAAUCAUUUCCAUCUCAUGAGACUAAAUCUGGAUUACUCCCGAGGCUUGAAGUUCUUGGUCCAGCAUACUAGUUUGGAUGAGAUAUAGAAUUGGCAUGAGAUUAUCAUCAAUGGUGUUUCAAUUAUAUGGUACCUACCGACAUAAAUGAAAAGUAAGGAUAUCGAACCACAUUUCGUUGAUUACUAAUAAUGUAGAAUUGAAUGGUCAAUUAGAAAUAAACAAAAUAUGUCGAAGGAGAUAAAUGAAAUAAUGUGAUAUAACCCUGAAGACUUCUCUCAUACGCCAUGUGAUUGAUUGUAGCAUAUAAACGUCGUUGUAACGUAUCUUUGAAAUCAUGAUACAAAAUAUACAUGGAAGUUUUAGAAUGACUUACAUGUACUUAUUUAAAUAAGUUCUAGACCAUAGAACACCCUUUCAGUUUAGAUGAGGCUUUCACUUUACGGAUGCAGAACAAUCCGGGCAAAUGUGGUAUACUCGUCUAAGUGAAUAUUUGAUCAGUUAGGGAUAUUGCCUCAGCAUGUACAAAAUCCAAAAUUGCUAGAAUUGCAGUUUAUGUCAAUGACAUGAAUCUUACUAAGACUCUGGAAAAGCUUAAGAAAACUGACUCGUAACUGAAGUCGGACUUUGAGAUGAAUAAUCUUGGGAAAACUCGACGCUACCUCAACUUGAAGUUUCGAGCAUGGUUUUGAUAGUAUUAUGGUCCACUAGUCGAACUAGACCCAAAAGGGGUUGCUUCUGAGUAUAAUCUUGAUCAUCUAUACAUUAGAUGCAAAUGAGACCUUUACGGAGGUUAUGGAGCAUAAGGGUUCAUAUCAAAACAUGUAACACCAUAUUUGAGUGCAAUUGGCGUGUAUUGUACUUAGCUCAAUGAACUAGAUUGGACAUCUCAAAUGCUGAUAAUUUUUUGGCAAAAAGCACCACUGCGCUUACACGCCACCACCAAAUUAGGUGUUAAUGACGUUUUUCUGUUACUACGGAUUUGGGCUUACUCUAUCAUUAUGCAUCUCAGAAUAUAUCACACCCCCUUGAUCUUCGGCAUGAUACCUACAAUGUGGGAAUCGAAAUUAGAAUCUUUGUCUGAUCCGCACAACGUACUUUCCCAAAUGGUUAUGUCUUUACUGUUAAGGAACACUGCAACAUUUUGGAGGUCAACCAGAUAGACCUUAGUUGUGAAAUCUUUGAAUUGUUCCAAGACUCAUUGUAUAUCAUCACGUGAGAGAUAUAGUUGAGAACUCUUGUUGAGCAUAUUCGAAUUCCCUACAAUUUUCAUCUAUCGUUGAGUCCCAACAACGAUCCAUGAAGAUAAUGACAUAUGUAUCGAUCAGAUCAUGAUACAUCCAACAUGUCAACGCCAAGCAUAUUGUACCUACAUCAGUAUGAGCAUUAUAAGAUUGAAGUUAAGCAGUUCGAUCCCAGACAACCUUGCCGACCUCUGCACGGAUUCACUGUCGAAGUAUACCUUCCAGAUGCUUGUUUGAGGAAUUGGUAUGCGUGACUUUCGCAUUUGUAAUGCUUGCAGUUUUAUUUGGAAAUUCUAUCAAAUUGAGAGGGAGUAUACAUAAGUAUACUCACUUGACCUUAAUUUACUUUUUUUUUCCUAUGCUUAGGAGCACUUUUCCCAUUGGAUUUUUACUACCAAACUAGAUUUUGACGUGGUACUCAUCUUGGGCUGGUCAUACCCUUGUGUACAUUCUACUUGCAUCCUGAGGACUUAUAGUUUUGACUUAAUGCAACUUCUCAAUUUUCUCCUUUGACUAUGGGUUUCUAUCCCACCUUAGGUUUUGCUAUAACAAGGUUUUGUGAGUUUUACCACCUAUGCAUUCUUCUGUUUGUUUUGAGACUCGCAUUCGCUAAUUGUGCCAACUAGACGAGACGACUUCAUCAAUUGUUCUACAUUUUCCUGAAAAUGUGACGUGUCAUUGAUGAGUAGAUUUUAUAUUAUAUAUUUUACCCUAUUCUUUAGUAUAUUUUGAAAGAAUUUUGAUACUUUGAAUUGUAUUUUCAAUAUAGGACUUCCGAGUUCUUAUGGAGCAAAACAUGACCAAAUGGAUGAAUUUUGGAGUAAUUCCAGUUGGAGGACGUUUGUAAGUCACUUAGCUUGAUCUCAAAAUUUGGGAUUUUUCCACCAAGUGGUUAUUUUCUGGCAAUAAAAUAAAAGAGUGAUGCGUUGUGCUGGAAAAUGACAUUUUUAGGCUUAAAUUGCGUUUUUGGAGCCCAAGAUGAUCUCGAAUGGUUUCGUGGCCUUCUGGAGAUGUGUUUGGAACGUCCUAAUCUUUAACAUAAGCUAUCUUGGGCCGGAUUUGGAGGAGAUCUGAGGCUAAAACGUGGUUGGACAAGUACUUGGCAGAUUCUCCUAGUUUAAUUAGGGUUUUAUUUUCUAAGAUAUUUUAUUAUUCUUCUUAGUUUCCUAAUUGGAAUAAGAGAUAUGUUUUAGGAUUUGUGCCAUGGCUUAGCAAAUAUAUUGCUUUACCAUUCUUAGUUUUUUUUUUGCUACGCUUUCUUUUAUGCAACUUUGGAGAUAGAGAGCAAUUGCUAAGGUUUUUGGAGAUUUUCUACUUUAAGGUGUUUUCAUUCUUUUUAUUUUUCAUAAUAUUUCCUAUAAUUUCAAUUAUGAAUAUCUGUAACUAAUUUCUUUUGCUAGGGCGAAGCCUUGAGCCUUAGUAUGAAUAUGUGUUUUUUAUUUAAUUGCUUAUGAUUGAUUGCAUGCACACUUUGAAUUAUUAAUCACUGGUUUAAACUAUCUAACUUUCUUAAUCCCUGAUCACCAUUAGGAUCUUUAGAAAAGUAAUUUGAUGCAAUUUUGGUCAGAAGGUUCCCUGAAAUUGACGCUGGCUUCAUGUGGUUAAUAAUUGUAAUUUCACUUAAGAUGAACACCAUGUCUUAAGGAUUGCAUGGUUUUUUCAAAAGUUUUUCAUAGUGCAUAAUUAGUCUUUCAUGUUCAGAUUUAAUCCAAACGUCCAGACGGGUUGCAUGUUAGAUAUACGUUCUAUGUUGGAGGUUCCAAGUAGAAUAUGAAUUAGGAAAAUCUAACCUUCAAAGUGGCAUGCGUAGAUCAUAAGUAAUUGGUAAAAAUUCAUAGGAUUGCUAAGUGAUGGUGGAACCCUAAUGCUUUCUUAAUUUGAUUUCUCCAAAACUUUUCUUUUUCUUUCGGCUUUAAUAUUGCAGGUUGUUUUACUUUUAUUAAUAAAAUUCGUUUUAAUAAAUUAGGUUAUAAAAAUCAAUCAUCUCAAUUUUUACUUUACAAUAAUUAAUUGGAAUUUGGUUGUUUCGAAUUAUUUAAUAAUCCAUGUGGAGAACGACCUUACAAGAUCCCUUUAUACUACAGUAACCUUAUCAUUCUUGCAAGUAAUAUAGGAGUUUUUAACCCAUUUGCAUGUGUGGUGAAAUCCCUAUCGGUCAUCCUAGUGGGCAGGCGAAGGGGAAGUCCUCGAGGAUGGAUGGAGAAUCAGUUUCUUCACCGAUUGAAUUUGGAGCUAAUGGUGUUGAUUCGUCCAGAUCUGGUAAGAGAAGUCGUGGAAUUGAUGGACCGAAUUUGGAUGCUGAACGUGACAUGGCUGCUCUGCACCUGGAGCCUAAUGUGAGUUUCAAAGACAAGCUUAUGAAAUCAUCUCGGCGACUUGUCUCGGUUGCUAUCUGAUUUUGAUUUUGAUCCUGAUCUCGUUGACGGGGACGUGUCAUUCUCUCGUGAGGUGAAAGGGCCUAUCGUUACAUUCUCUGAAAAAGCUGUGACGAAAUUUGGUAAGGAUUGGCAUGAUGCUCUGGUCAUCAAACUUCUUGGGCGAUCGCACACUUAUAAUUUUUUGUUAAACAGGCUGAGGCAAAAAUGGCAAUUAAAAGGAGGUAUGCAGCUUAUUGACAUUGAUCAUGAUUUUUAUAUUGUUAAAUUUGAUUUGGAAGAGGAUAAGGAGUUUGUUUUAACUGGUGGACCUUGGAUAAUUGCGGGUCAGUAUUUGACGAUUCAAAAAUGGAGACCAGGAUUUGUGCCUGCAACUGAGGUUAUGACUCGUAUGGCUGUAUGGGUCAGGAUAAUGGGUGUUCCAAUUGAGUAUUUUAAUGUUUGGGCUAUGAGGAAGAUAGGUAGUGUGCUGGGAAAACUGUUAAAGAUUGAUGUACACACUAAUUCUCAAUACAGGGGCAAAUUUGCUAGAAUUUGUGUUGAGAUUGAUGUGACUAAGCCUCUUGAAGCGUUUAUUCAAAUUAAUGAUAGAUGGUACAAUUUGGAGUAUGAGGGUAUGCCAGAAAUUUGUUUUGGAUGUGGUCGUUAUGGGCAUAAGAGGGAGAGCUGUACUUGGAGCGUUGAUCCUAUGGCGGAAAAGGUUGAUGGUGGUGAAAAUGAGAGUAAUAUGAUGAAUAUGGAUGAGCCUAUAGUAAAGGCUGCUCAAAGUAGCGAUGAUGUUUCUGCUAUUCAUGGUAAUUGGAUGCAAGUUAAGCCUAGAGGUAGACCUCGGAAAAUAAAUAAUGGACAGAGAGGUGUUGAUGGUGCUUUUAAUGGGCAGGGGUCAAGGUUCAGUGUGCUCAAUGGGGAAGAUAAAAGUCUGAAUGAGGGAAAUGUGGGAAGUGGCACAGAUGGUGAGAAGGGUGAAGGUUCUAUUGAAAGGAAAAUUUGGGGGGUUAGGAAGAAGAAGGAAGCUAGUGAUCGGGAUGCACUUGCUGAUAUAUCUAACUGUGGUGGAAAGCCAUCUACGCAUAAUUUGGGGCAACUAAGACAACCUUUAGUGAGAAGGUCAAGUUCUAGUUCGAUUAGUAAUGUUGAGGAUCAGCCGUUCAAAUUUAAUGUUAAUGCCUUCAAGACUGAUAUGUACUAUGGUUCAAAUAUGUCGAAGGGAACCUAUAUUUUUGGUCACCAACCAUCUAAUGCUAGUGGUAGCGAUGUUGAGUUAGCUGCGUGUGAUCUAGAUCCAGGUGAAGAGAUGAUGAAUACUGAUCAUACUAUUCCAGGUUCAAUUAUUCAACGAUCUCGUUCAACCGAGGAUUAUUGUUUAGCUAAGUCUGCUGAGAGGUGUGCCUCCCAUGUGGAGGAAACCCUUAUGGGUUGCUAGGCUGUAUGCCUUGGUUUUAUCUUUCUCAUCCAUCUUUAUGAUGAAUAUUGUAGUAUGGAACUCUAGAGGUGCUAGUUGCACCAAGUUUAAAGAUAAUGUUGCAGAAUUAAUUAACAUUCACCAAAUGGAGAUUUUGGUUAUUUGUGAGCCCAGGAUUAGUGGUCAGAAAGCUAUUUCAGUUGUGAAAUCUCUUGGUUUUCCGUGCUUUGAGAUUGUGGAUGCUGUUGGCUUCUCUGGUGGUUUGUGGAUGUUGUGGAAGGAUUCUAGAUUAAAGGUGGAAGUUAUCGGUACCACUGACCAAGCUAUUUCUGUUGUUGUGGAUGGUGUUGGUCAGAACCAUUGGAUUUUCACCGCUGUCUAUGCUAGCCCUUGUGUUACUAAAAGAGAAAGAUUGUGGGAUUAUUUAGAUUUUGUAGCUGAUUGUCAUCAAUUGCCUUGGUUAAUUGCUGGGGAUUUCAAUGACAUGUUGUGUGUGGAUGAUAAACUUGGUGGUGCUCCAUUAUGCAGAUUAAAAGGCUUCAAAUCCUGGGUGGAUAGGAAUUAUAUGAUUGAUUUGGGUUUUAUUGGUCCUAAAUUUACUUGGACUAAUAAAAAAAGUGUUAGAAAGAAUUGAUCGUGGGAUUUGUAAUAUGAGUUGGAGGAGCCUUUUCCCUGAAGCUUAUGUUCACCAUCUCCCGCGAACCAAGUCAGAUCACUGCCCUAUUAAGAUAUGCUUAAAUUCUCAUAAGUCAUUUUCUCCCAAUCAUCGUCCUUUUCGUUUUGAAGCUAUGUGGUUGAGGCAUGAAAAUUUUAAGGAGUUUGUUGAUGGUUAUUGGAGUAAUGGUGGAGGUUCGGUUGUUGAUAAAACUUGUGCUCUUAUUGAACCGCUUAAGAAGUGGAAUAUUCAAGUCUUUGGUCAUCUCAAACAGAGAAAGCGCAAACUUCUAGCAAGAAUUGAUGGGAUUCAAAAAGCUUUGUGUCGUGGGCCUAAUAAAUUUCUUUCUAAAUUGGAGGAUGAGUUGAUUUCUGAUUAUAAUGAAGUUCUAAAUGAGGAGGCUAUAUUUUGGCAUCAAAAGUCUCGGUUGAGGUGGCUUCAAGAAGGUGAUCGUAAUACAAAAAUUUUUCAUCUCACUACUAUUGUAAGAAGGAGAAGAAAUAGAAUUGAGGGCCUCAUUAACAAUCAAGGUGCUUGGAUAUCGGAGUCUUCUAAUAUGAAAAAGUUGGCAGUUGAGUACUUUCAAACUAUUUUUUCGCAUGGGCAAAAGUCUAAGCAAAUGGAAUGUCUUCCUAAUCUUUUUCCUGAUAUUAAUGUUGCUGUUCGUGAAGCUCUUACCAAAGAUAUUGAUAUGGUUGAAGUCAAGGAAAGCCUCUUUAAUAUUGGAGGCCUUAAAGCUCCAGGUAUUGAUGGGUUUCCUGCUUGCUUUUAUCAAAGUCAGUGGAAUAUAUGUGCUAAUGAUAUCUUUGAUAUGGUAUGGAAUGCUUUUCACUCAAGGAGAUUGCCUGCUGGGUUAAACAGUACGCUGAUUACAUUGGUCCCUAAAAUUGAUAAUCCUCAAAAGAUGUUGAAUUUUAGGCCUAUUAGUCUCUGUUGCACUCUUUAUAAAGUGAUCUCUAAAAUCAUUGUUGCUAGAAUCAGACCUCUCUUGCCUCAUCUAAUUAGUCCUAAUCAGGCUAGUUUUGUUCCUGGUAGACAAAUUUCUGACAAUGUCCUCAUUGCUCAAGAAAUUCUUCACAAGUUCAGAAUGUCAAAAGGCCAAAAAGGAUUUUUAGCCUGGAAAAUUGAUCUCUCUAAGGCGUAUGACAGACUUAAUUGGAAGUUUAUUGAGUAUGUGCUGAAUGAGGUUGGGUUGCCUUCGAAUUUGAUUCAGCUUAUGAUGGAAUGUGUAUCCACAGUUAGGUACCAAAUUUGUUUCAAUGGUGAAUUAACAGAUGGUUUUAUUCCUCAAAACGGUAUUCGGCAAGGGGAUCCUUUGUCCCCUUAUUUGUUUGUUCUAUGUAUUGAGAAACUCUCCCAUUUAAUUUCUGCAACUGUGAACAAAGGAAGGUGGAAACCUGUUAAGGCUUCUCAAUCUGGACCUAGGGUAUCUCAUCUCUUUUUCGCUGAUGAUUUAAUGUUGUUUUCUGAAGCUACUCCUAAGCAAGCAAGAGUAAUGAAGAGGUGCCUUGAACAAUUUUGCAAAGCUUCUGGUCAAGCUGUUAACUUUGAAAAAUCUGUUCUUUAUUAUUCUCCAAACACGUCAAGGGCUUGUGUUAAGAGUAUUAGUACAAUUUGUGGGUCUCCUGUCUCUGAGAGUCUUGGGAAUUAUUUAGGAAUGCCUCUAAUUCAGACUAGAGUUUCAAAGGUUACUUAUUUGGGCGUUAUUGAUAAAGUUCAGAAGAGGUUGGCAACUUGGAAGAGCAAGGUAUUGUCCAUGGCUGGAAGAAUUACCUUAAUUCAAGCUGUUACCUCGUCCAUACCAGUUUAUGCCAUGCAAACGACCAAGCUUCCGGCCAGUGUGUGUGAAGAGUUAGACAAGGUGAAUAGGGAUUUUUUGUGGGGGGAUACCGAUCAAAAGAAAAAAGUCCAUUUGUGCCAAUGGAGUAUGGUUUGCAAACCUAAAAGUAAGGGUGGUUUGGGGAUUAAGAGAGCUUGUGUAAUGAAUCAGGCUCUUUUAGCUAAGUUAGGGUGGAGGAUUCAUGCUAAGGACUUUGGUCUUUGGUCUCAAAUUUAUCAGGCUAAGUAUUUGAAAGGCUAUUCUAUUUUAGACCCCAAAAUUCAUGAAAGAACUGAGUGUUCUUAUUCUUGGAAAGGAAUUUUGUAUGGAGUUAAUCUUCUUAAAAAGGGCAUGACUUGGAGAAUUGGCAAUGGUGAGAGUGUGAAAUUUUGGAAGGAUUCAUGGGUCUUAAAUGUCCCUUUAAUGGAAACUAUUGAUGUUGCUAAUAUCUCCAAUAUUGAUUGUGUUGUCUCUGAAUUUUUUAAGAAAUGGUUGGUGGGAUAUUGAUAAGCUCAGAGAUGUGUUGCCAGAGGAUAUGGUUCAAAAAAUUAUAUGUCGGCCUGCUGGUACUACUGGUGCAGGUAUGGAUAAAAUUAUUUGGAGAUGUGCUUCUAAUGGAGUUUUCACCGUUAAGUCAGCUUAUAAUCUUUUCUUUGAUGAAGAGGAUUUGCCUGAUUCAUGCUGGGAUUUUAUUUGGAGAGUUAAUGUUCCACCGAAGCUAAAAGUUUUUCUUUGGUUGAUGAGUAAAGGGAGAUUGCUUUCUAAUGAGCAACGAGUUAGAAGACAAUUAACUUCUGAUUCUUCUUGUAUGACUUGUUGUGGACCAAUUGAAUCCAUUGCUCAUAUUUUUAAAGAUUGUUCCAGGGCUAUGUGUAUCUGGAAAAGUAUGGGAGUUCCAUGGCAACUGAGGAAUGCCCAGAAUCUUGAGUUUAAGGCUUGGUUGCUGGCAAAUCUGAAAGUAAGUUCAAAAGGGACCAAUGAGGGUGCUUGGUGUACUCUUUUCCUUUUUAUUUGUUGGCAUAUUUGGAAGUGGAGAAACAAGCAGAUUUUUGAUGUCAAUUUUGUCAUGCCUAUGUAUCCAAAAGCGAUCAUUGAGAGAGAUGUGGAUGAAUGGUUGAAGGCUUGUGUGAAGUAUUCUGUCAAACUUGUAAAAAGGCAAAUUUCUCUCUCUCUUGGGAUCAUCCUGAUGUAGGUUGGUGUAAGCUAAAUGUGGAUGGGUCUAGAAGGACAAAUUCUGGUCGAAUUGGGGCUGGUGGCGUUCUAAGAGAUCAUAAUGGCAACUGGUUAGGUGGCUUUGCUGUGAAUUUGGGACAAGGGCAGGUUUGUGAUGCUGAAUUAUGGAGUUUAUACUUUGGUUUACAGCUUGCUAUUGAUAAGGGUGCUACUGAGCUUCAUAUUGAGAUGGAUUCCAAGGCUGUUAUUAUGUUGUUGAAGCAAUCCCAAGUUGAUAAUUUCCAUCCUUUGGAGACAAUUAUGCAUAGCUGCAGAUUAAUGAUGAGACAAUUGAGGAGGUGUGAAUUGAAUCACGUUUAUAGAGAGAAGAAUAUUGUGGCGGAUCAGUUGGCUAAUUGGAGUUAUAACAUGGAUAUUGGUGUUCUUGUUUUUGAUGAGCCUCCUGUGUGGAUUAGAUCAGCUCUCAUUGAUGAUGCUGCUGGAGUCCCUCGGACUCGGUUUGCUGUUGGUUUGUAGUUCUUUUUGGGUUGUGUUCCCCGUUCUUCACCAAAAAAAAAAAUCCCUAUCGGUCAUCUACUUGUGUAUUUGCACAAUCAAGGGGGAGCAUGAUAUACAUUCUAAUACAUAUUGUGAUUAUGUAAAUCCUAAGUAUAGAUAGAUUAGGAAUUCUUUGGGAUCUAGAAGAUCUUUGCCAAUAGACUUUGUAUUACUUGGAGAUCAAAUUUCUCUCCUCCUUAUUACUAUAAAUAAAGGCACAAUGACUGGAGAAUAACACAUAAUUUCUCAAGCCCAAUCGCCACUCUCUUUGUCUCUAUGUCGUGCCCCUUUAUUCUCCCUCAGUUAGAUAUAGACCACAACAAAGUAGAGAUAAAUCUAUGUUUUCAAGAGGUUCAACUUCGCAAUAAAUUGUAAGAACCAAUUGCUUGAAAGUUUCUCUACUUUAUAAGAAGCGUGAACAUAUUACAUGGAAGUUUCUCUUUAAAAACUCAUAACUCAUAACUCAUUUAAAGGCCCAAGAGUCAACCUUCCCAACUAGGAAAUUAAAUUAUACUUCUGCCACUCACUUUCCUAUCCAUUCAAAAUUCGGCGCGUAUUGUAUAUUUCAACGUCCAAUUUGGAUUCCACAGAAACCACGUGGGUGUUUCGCACUCCUUUCUCACACCCUUCCCUCAACACUCCUAUAUAACCUUCUACCCACACCUCUUUCCUAUCAACGGCUCUCACAAUUCUCCUAACCUAACACAAGCUGUUCAUCAAACACUUACGCGCACUCUUCAUCCACCAUGGCAGCCAAUUCCCGGACGCUUGAAAUCAAGGUGAUCUCCGCCGAGAACCUGAAAUUAGAUCGAAAAUCCAUCAAGAAAAACGCCUCCGUGACCGUCCGGACCGACACCAACAGCCAGUUUUGCACUACGGACAUUGACACCGAAGGCGGCGCCCACCCACGGUGGAACGAGAAGCUCGUGCUCGACUUGCCAACGCACUCGAAGUCCAUCACAGUGGAGGUCCAUUGCAAGACUUCGUCCGGCGUCAGGACGAUCGGGACGGCAACGGUUCCGGCUUCUGAUUUUGUUGGCGGGUACGUACCGGAGGGUUAC
rnacentral:lncRNA from 1 species